rnacentral:lncRNA from 1 species
GGAGACGCAACCUGGCACCCGAUGGUGACUGUCAACUGGGAGACGCACCUCUGAUCCAUAAAGAUGACUACUCCGGAGCUCAUCGUUCAAGAGGAGCGACCUACCUUUCGAACCAAACGAAUGUGAGUAAUGAUCUGGAUCUCUUGUUAGAGACAACAAUAGACAAUCGUCACACUUUGACUCCAACUACCUGUAUGCUAGUCAAACAUUCAAAUCUCUAAUUAGAAUGUCACCAAGUUUGCUAUUGUUAUAGUCCAUACAUUCAUAGGGUUCUAUAAUCCAGCAUUCUAUUUGUUCAUAUAUUUCAUCGGUGAUAAAGCAUUUGCAUAAUCAAAAUAUCACUUAACAUAAUAACGAAACCCUAUAAUGCAUGGAUACAAAUGUAAGAUAUGCUACAAUAAAUUAGCAUAGACAUAAAAGCGAUUCAAAGAUUCGGAUAGCACCACCCACUGCCUGUAGUGGUGUCAGAACUAGAAUCCACUCUCGCACUGCUGUGCCAACACGAAUACAGCGACUCAAUGCAAUUAGAGCGAAUUGGCUCUACUGUAAGUAUGCGUCGCCGAGCUGUCGGAUAUGUCAAUGUUAGACUUUCGAGGCAAGUUUAACCUUUCAUUUAUAAAGAAUAAAAAGAUUAAACUUAUGUUAUAGCCCUAUUUCUAACAAACUGCAUUCACUUAACAUACAUAUAUAUAGUAUAUGUGUUAUAGGCCUUCUAUACAUAUACUCUCUUAUUUCCAUUCUUUUACCCAGUCAUUUUAUUAUUCAAUCAGCGAACUUCAACCUUAUUAAUGUCAUUUCUAUUUCAACACUAAGCCUAAUACAUUCAUACGUAUAUACAAUGUACAUGAUACAUUUAUAUGUACAACUUGUUCACCAUUCCACCACCUAUAUUAUACUAGAACGUUUCAACAUAACUACUUUCAACCCAAACUAGCCACUUGACAUCAACUAGAGCAUUCUCUGGAUGCAUUACAGUCAAUAAGACAUUAGCAACUUAGAAAUUCUAAGUUAGACAUUUGCUCUAGGUUCGUCACAUGGCACUUAGAGGCUAACAAUGCAAUAAUCUAAUCAUUCAAACUCUUCUAAUUUAAACACAAUAACAUUAAAUAGAAAUAGGGAUCACCUAUUUUCAAGGUUUUUAUCCCUAUUCCAUGAAUUCACGCUAUAUACGAUACACAUAUAGCUCUUAUAGUUUAAUCCCAUGGUUAUAUCACACUCCAGACUAAUAUUAUCAGUAUUUAACCUCUUAACAGAAUUCGCAUCAUUCCCAUCAGGAAGUUUGAGCUAAUUUCUCCAAAACUUCAUUUAAAGGCAGGCAUAUAUAAUAUAUAUAUAGUAUAUGAUAAAAUAUAUAUUAGACAUGGAUAUGCUAUAUUGUUUAUAAUCUCUAGCUUUUCUAAUACUACUACGAUACAACCUUUCAUCCAUAUAAAACCCUGCUCAUAGUAGUUAGAAACAACACAGCCUUAAUUAAGAUCUCAACCAACUUAAGUUCUUGUUCAAUUCUAACAAUAAAUUUCAUAGGCAUAUCUUUCCAACAUAUAGCUAUAAGAUUUGCUCAUCGGUGAUAUAAGCGUCUAAAAGCUAAUUAUCCAUUUGUUCAACUCAUUCUAGAGUAGAUAACAUGCACCUAAUUAAGAGAUAUUCUAAUUCAUAACCUCAUUCUUUCAUUUCUAGCUGAAUUCCUGCUCAACAGCCUCUUCUCAUCUCACAUAUCCAAAUUCAACUAAAACUCUUCUUCAAAAAACCAUUCUAGUGCUUUAGAGAAAGAGAGAAGAAAAAGCUAAAAAAAAGGUGAGAAGAUAGCUCCGCAUACUAUUGAACGCGCGGUUUGUUGGCUGUAGAUAGACUAAGAAAAACUGCAAUUACGCCCCUCCACAACUGCUGCAACUGCAGUUUUCACCAAAACAGUCCGCUGCAGUUUACGAAACAGUCCUUGCAGUUUACAAACAGUCCCCGCCUACGCGAGCCGGCAGCCUUGGCAGCCGCAUUUCUCACUUCUACUCGCUCCGAUUCAUCCCAUACACUUCAAAACAUGCUAAUCUUCUAUGCCCAAACACUCAAAUAAUUGAAGCAUUUAAUUUCAAUUUUGUAUUAAUUUGAUCAUUUGACUAAAUGCGACUAAAAAUUUCAGCUUUUUGUAGCAAUAGCAAUUGAGUCUUUAGCCACUUCGAUUUCCAAUUCUGUGCUAUCUCUCAUAACUUAAAACAUGUCAAUUCUGUGCUCUACUAGCUAAUUAAGUUUAGAAAUACUUAAUUUCCAUUUUAGCUUAUUGCGACGCACUUUGAUCACGAAUUAGCUCGAGAUAAAUUGUCAAUCAAUUACAAUCUCCCCCCUUAAAACAGUUUCGUCCUCGAAACUUAAAUUCAUACCUUAGUCUUCCUCUUGAUCGAAUAGAUGGGGAUAGGAAUUUCACGCAUGAGCUUCUUCCAUUCCCACAAGUGCCUCCUCUCCUGAGUGAUUACUCGCAUUGUACUUUCACGUAGGGAAAUAGUGCGAUCGCAGUUCUCUGCGUUCUCGAUCAAGGGAUGCAUACUGGUAUCUCAUAAGUCAUAUCCUCUUGUAAAAUACUACCCAGGCUCGUACUCCAUAAAUGCCUGAAGUGCACAUAUUUUCGAGGAGAAUUCCGAAACAUGAAAAUACAUGUGAAUCCCUCGAAGUUCGCGGUAGAGCCAAUCUAAUAAGCUACUGCCAACUCGCUCUAGGAUCUCGUAAGGUUCCAAUGUAUCGAGGACUAAGAUAUUCCUCAGAACAGACCAAAUCUCUUUAUCCGCGCGCAUGUGGUGAUACUUUCAACAACACCUUAUCGCCAACCGCAAACUCCAAAUCUUUCGGCGCUUAUUUGCAUAUCUGCUGUCUGUCGACUGAGACCGUCAGCAAUCUUUGCGACAGUAAGCGUACCCUUUCCUCCGCCUCCUCGGAGUACAAAUAGACGCAAGAACCAUUCUUCACCCACAUUCACUCCAAAUGGAUAGGGGAUCGACAUUUCUCCCAGUAGAGGGCUUUCAAAAACGGUGGCCAUUUUGCGAUACUUUCUUGAUAGCUGUUAUUAAGCAAAUUCAGCCAUUCGCCAAGGAAUCAUGCCAACUCCUCUAAGUCAGUACACAUGCCGUAGCAUGUCUCCAAAAUCUGGAUCGUCCUCUCAAGACUGUCGCAUCGUCUGAGGAUGAGCUUUACUAAAGUCAAGACGUGUGCCAAGAGGCAUCCUGUAAACUCCUCGCAGAAAGUAGAUGUAAACGCGCGGUCUCGAUCAGAACAAAUCGACGUCGGACCCGUGUAAUCUCAGAACAAUCAUCAUCGAGGUAUCACCUGGCCACUGUCCCUUCGGACCAAGUAACAUGAAUGCAACAGAAAUGCCCCCGAUUUCGUGUCAGUCGACAACAAUCACACCAAAUAGUGUCAUGUCCAGCCUGUGAUCGAGGUAAUCCAAAUAAUGAAAUUCCAUCGCAAUGUUCCCCCACUUCCAGACGGGGGUGUCGGCGGAAAGCUAAGCUCUGUAACUUUCCGCGCCGGGAAAUCUGGCGGCUCAAGCUUAACUGCUGACAAGUCAAACACUGCCGCUACAAAACUGUCGCAACAUCCUUCUUCAUUCCAGGGCCACCAAUAAUGUACUUUAAAGAUCUUUGUACAUCUUUAGUGCCACCUUGAUGUACACUAUAGGUGACUGAUGAGCUUCCUAGUAUAUAGCCGCUCUGAACCUCCUCGUCUUAGGGUAUCGCACAUCGCGGUUGCGAAGCCGUAGGGCACGGUCAAUCCCACAUAAACUCAAUCCCCUCGCACCGCUCUCAACUUACACCACACUUUUUGAGGAUACGGAUCUAGAGGAUUGCCGAUCUUUAUCCAAGUCGCAACAAGUUCGGUUGAAACAACUAGAGCGCCAAGAACAGCUGUACUAUUCUGAGCUACUAGCCUCAAGAUCGAACCGCCGCAUUUCAUUCUGCAACGAACGGUUUUGAUGUGUGAUCACCAUAGCCAACGUUCUCACUGGACUUCCCUACUCAAUGCAUACAGCAACCACAAUUCGUCAUUUCCUGGGUGGUAUAGAAUAUAACAUCAUAAUCUUUUCACAAUUCUAACCACCGCGUUGUCGCAUAUUCAGCUCUUUCUGGUGAAUAAAUACUAUCAGGCUCCGUUGUGAUCUGUAAUAGAUUUCACAAUGUUCGGCCAUAUAGAUAUUCUCCAACUCAAAGUGCGCAGAUCACCGCGCAUUCCAAAUCAGAAUAGGAUAAUUCUUUUCAUAGUUCUUCAACUGGCGAGAACGCAUAAUCCAAUCACUGCGACCACUCUGCAUAACUACACCCCAAGUCCAUUGUAGGAACAUCACUGUAGACCACAAAACUCUCCCUGAAAUGGCAAGCCCAGAAUAGGAGUCGAAGUCAAACGCUUUCUUUCAAGCAUCCUAAAGCUACAUCACAAUCUUCCUCCAAACAUAUUAGUUCCUUUUAUUGUAAAGGGCGUUAAUGGAGUAGUAAUCUUCGCAAACCCCCCACCUGAACAGCGCUAUAGUAAUCCCGCGAGUCCAAGAAACUGGGGGGCGGAUGCUCUGGCAACAGUCGUCGGGCGAGGCCAAUCUUUAAUGCCUUUACUUUCUUUGGGGUCAACAGCUACACCGACCUGCAAAAUCACAUGCCGCCAAAGUAUGCGACCUCUGCAGCCAAAUUCACAUUUCUUCAAUUUAGGUGGCAUCUAACUGUUUGCUCCGAAGAUUUGGCAUCACUGUCUCAAGUGUUUUCCGGCUCCUCAUUACUUUUCGAGAAAAAUCAGGAUAUCAUCUAUAAAUACCACUACAACAUCUGAUCCAAUACGCGCUUAAAGAUCCUGUUCAUACAGAUCCAUGAAUGCUGCAGGGCAUUGUCAGCCAAACGGCAUCACUUGUACAACUCGUAAUGACCCAUAACGAGUGCGGAACGCGUCUUGUGCAACAUCUCUGGUUUGAUCUUCAGUGGUGGUACCCAUUGAAGAUCAAUCUUCGAAUCCUCGUGAACAAUUGCAAACUGAUCAAUAAAAUAUCGAUUCGCCGCAAGGAUAUUUUAUUCUUGAUUGUGAUCUUGUCAGUUACGAUAAUCAACACCAGUCGACGAGCUCCGUCUUUCUCUUACAAACAGAACUGGUGGCUGCCCACGGUGAUACACUGGCUUCACAAAGCCUUUAUCCAUCAAGUCUGUAACUGAGCUUUCAAACUCUCUCACUCAGCAGGUGCCAUUCUGUACGGAGCCUUCGAAAUGGCGCCGUUCCGGAACCAAGUCAAUAUACCGAACUCAUUUCCCCGAUCCGGCGGCAACCGCCGUAAUCCAGGAAAUACAUCAGGAAACUGCCGAACGCACUGAAUAUCACCUCACGUGCUGGAAAGUUCUUUUGAGUCCUGCACUACAAGUCGCGCAAAUAAGCCGCACAUCCACUACUGAAUCUAACUUUCUUGCUCUCGUGCGACGAGACAGUAGUGCCAAAGAGCGAAACUCUGCAUCGCUCGAUAUACAACUUCUUUGCCUCGGUUCAGGUCACAAAGGUAAUAAUUUUACUUUCACAAUUAAUCGUGGCAUAGUACUUUGCAAGCCAAUCCAUUCCCAAGGAUGCACAUCAAUGCUUUCAUGGCGGCUAACACAACAGAUCGCUGGCAUAAUCCAAUCACCAUCUGUACUGGACAAUGCGCACACACUUCGUGACACUAAAUGUUUGCUCAGGGCAUAUACGCACCAGGCAUACAGCACAUCCGAAAUCUUCAGUCAUGCGUCUUAGCAAAUGAGCUACUGAUGAAUGAAUGCGAUGCACGCGUGUCAAAUAUGCACGAGAUCUAGUGCCAUUAAAGAAAACAAGUACCUGCCACGACGUCCUCAACUAACGGCGCGGCUCCUCACCUGGGCUUGCAAAAUACACGACCACUCGGUGCAGAUCGAGGUGUGUCCAUACGGGUACUCGGGUGCAGAUCGAGUUGGGCUCGACUGACCGGCAAACAAAAGUACGUCCAGACUGACAUAGGCAGGCGGUAGACCAGAACGCUGUCUUGAGGGUGACUGGAACUGAAGCUGGUGGACUGUGCAGGUGAUCUCCCCUCGGCAAUCACGAAUCAUAUGUCCGCGUGCUGACGCACACUUGAAACAUUUACCUUCCCGCUGUGGACAAGCCAUCGGUCGACCUGAUUCUCCGCCGCAUACACAACAUACUCGGGGGUCCCUCGACUACCCCGACUUGAGACCCUGGAUGCCGACGGCGCGGCCGUUUCGGCAGUCGACUGUCCGGCACCACUUGUGGUCCUCUUUUUUUCUUUUCUCUUUCUCGUUUCCCUUUCAAACGAUUGCGUUCAUUCACGCGCGAAUCGCAUUCCGCGCUCACCCGAAAGAGCUCGAUCUAUAAACCUUCCUCAAAAUUUUUAAAACUUUAGAGCAUUUGACUGUCCUGAAUAUGUCCGCUCGCCACCCCCGCUCAAAAACACCGCUCGAUCUCGAUCGUAUGAACAUCCCAGCAGCAGCAGUCACCAAAUAAGUAAAUUCCCGUUCGUACUUCUCUCCGCCGUACCGAACGGUCUUUCCCCUGUCUCAAUUGCGGAAAGUCUAUCUUUCAUUUUUCCUUUUAUCACUGUCGGAAGUACUCCAUAAAUAACAUCUCCCGCGAAACUCCUCCCAAUGACGCGGUGGUAAGUUUUCGGUGCCCAGGCUCUUCUUGCGCUUUGCCACCAAAUUCUGAGCAUUCUUGCUCAAGCAGUGUGCCGCCUAAAGAUACCUGUUAUCCCUUUCCAAAUGUAAAUUCCUCGGAAUAAGGCCUCAUCGUGUAUACCAUGUCUCUAUCAACCCCAGCGAACUGCUUCUUGCCAUCAAACAAUUAGGCGAUUAUAAAGCCGCAUAAAUGCCUCUAUGUACCUUUAUAAAUUCGCGCGCCUCAGUCCUCCAAUGCGGUUCAAAUCUAGAAUUAGAGGGCCCAGAAACCACGUGGAUGAACAGUCGGUCGAAACAGGAGCACGAUCGUUCGGCGACUUCAGAUACAGGUACAUCACGACUCCACAGGUAUUUUCGCGGUUGUUCGCCUGCCGACAUUAAAUCCUGUAGGCUCUUUAUAUGGCUGCCUCACUGUCUGCUGCAUAGGCCCCCCUAAUCGAGCGCACGAUCCUGAGCAGGCACUCCUGAACCUCAUUCAGAUCUCAUCGACUGCUCUGGCACCUCAGAAGGAUGCCGAGUGGAUCUCGUCGGCACGUCGCGGCUGGCAUUCUCCUUGAACACGAACUUUCAUAUUAUAAAACAAACCAAUUCAGUGCGAAAGCAAUCAAUCGCGUACUUAUACUCAACCCUUACUUUAUGUUGUUGGCCACUCAACAUAACUCUUUUGUUGGCAUAUAAUAAGCAAUUGAUCAGCACCCUAAUUAAUCAUUAGAGACUUACUAACACUAACUGCCAUUUGUUUUAGACCUUGCUAUCAUUAAUAUUCACUGACCACUUAACACCAUUCCUAGUCUCCAGGUUUCGCAAUUCUAAGUCCCCUAACUCAUCCUAGACUUUAAGCUAUCACUUGCUUCUGAUACCACUUAAAACUACGAACCCGCUAAUCCAGCCAAAUAUAAUCGCAUCGAUUCGGGGCCCGUGCACAGACCCCGACGACAGAACCUCCUCUGUCCGCCCAAAGGCUCACAACGGCGAGUACAUGUUAUAAAGAAAUAAAACAAUUCCCAGGACACACAUUUCAAUAUAACAUGGUUGUCAGCGAGGCAAGUCAACAAUCACAAGUAUAGUAAGCUAGUCUUAUACUGAAAAUCACUUGUAAUUUAAAUACUUCAGCACUGAACUAUAAACACUAAACAUUUAGUUAUUACAUGCCUUUAUAAGACAUUCAUUUACAUGUCUACACAUAACUAUGUAAAACUCACACUAUAACUCGGGUGUCAGCUAGCUAGCGGCGGGGCUGCUUACCACGAUCCCGGCCACACCGCUACGAGCACUGAACCUUGUAUGGUUAGGGUUAUGAGAAACCUACUGAAAUAAGUUCCCAGUCGGGUUCGACCUGUCGAAUUCUGCACGACAUCACCAACACAACUAGAUAUAACUACGCUUGUAGGCAAGAAAGUAAAACGAUAGUUUAAACGCAACUAUAAUAUUGUAACUACUAGCAAUGUGCCUUGUACAAAGCGUGAAAGAAAGCAUUAUAUAACAUAAAAUGUAAAUAUCAUUGCAUGCCUUUACUGAAUUAUCACAAUCUCAUUAGGUUACCUAAUUGGUACAAUAAUCCACAUGCAACUAUCCCAAAUAUUCGGAGAACGCAGACCAUGACCACGAUGAGGACUGUCAACUGGGAGACGCACCUCGCUGAUACACAGAUAAGAUGAAUACUAUGCCGAGGAGCUCACGUUCAAGGGAUGAGCGUACCUAUCUCUUGAACAAAGCGAAUUGUUGAGUAUGAACUUGACCUUUUUAGAGGAUUCAUACAAUAGACAAUCGUCAACACUUUGACUCCAGCUAACCUUUUAUGCUAAUUUCACAAUUUCAAUUCAAAUCUCUAUUAGUAAUGUCACCGCAGUUUGCUAUUGUUAUAGUCCGAUUACAUUUCAUUAGGGUUCUAUUAUCCACACAUCUAUUGUUCAUCAUAUGUUCAUGGUCUGAUUAUAAGCAUUCUGCAUAUCAAUAUCACUUACAUAAUAACAAUACCCUAAAUGCAUGAUUACAAUGUAAAAAUGGUCUCACUAAAUUAGCAUAGACAUAAAAUGGCGAUUCAAAGAUUUCGAUACACCACACACCUGUAGUGGUGUCCAGACUAGAAUCCUACUCUCGCAACUGUGCCAACUAACAAAUCAUCGCGACUCAACCAAUGCAAUUAAGGCCGAAUUGGCUUCUAACUUAAUGUAGUGCGUCGCCGACGGCUGUCGAAUUGCUCAAUUUAGACUUUGCGAAGCAGUUAACUUUCAAUUUAUAAAGAAUAAAAGAGAUUAAAACUUAUGUUCAUAUCCAAUUCUAACAAACUAAAAAUUCACUUUAACUACAUAUAUAUAGUAUAGUGUUAAGGCCUCUAUACAUAUCCUCUUUUAUUCCCAUAUAUAAACAGCAGUUUAUUUUAUUCUAAUGCAGAACUUCAAGCCUACUUAAUUCCAAUUCUAUUUUCAACACUAAGCACUAUAUACAUCUACAUACUAUAUACAUGUAAACAAUAUACAUUUAUAUGUACAACUUGUUACAUUCCACCACCUAUAUUAUAUAGAACUUUAUAUAUCCAAUUAACUACUUUCACCCCAAACUAGUCCAACUUGACAUCAACAUAGGCAUUCUCUGGAUUCAUACAUCAAAUAGACAUUAGCAACCUAGAAAUUCUGAAGUUAGACAUUUUGCUCUACGGUUUCACAUGCACUUAGAGGCUUAACAAUCAUAAUCUAUCAUUCAAUACUCUUCCUAAUUUUAAACAUAAACAAUAACAAUUAAAUAAGGAAAUAGAAUCAACCUAUUUCAGUUUUUAUCCCUAUUCCAUAAUUCACCUAUAUACUAUACUACAACAUUUAUAUUUAAUGCCAUGGUUAUAAAAUUAUGGCAUAAUUUAACCUUCUUAUCAGCAAUAGCAUCAUUGCCAUUCAGGAAUUUGAGCUAAUUAAAAACUCCAAACUUCAUUCUUAUAAGCUAGGCAUAUAUAUAAUAUAUAUAAUAUAGUAUAUAUAUACUAUAUAUAUAUAUACAAUAUGCUAUAUUUUUUUAUAAUCUCUAGAUAUCAAUAUAAAACCCUCUCAUAGGUAGUUUAGUAACAAACGCCUUAUAUUAAGAUCUCAACGACUUAAGUCUUGUUCAUAUUUCUAACCAAUAAUUCAUAUGCAUUCUUUUCCAACAUAUAGCUUAUUAGAAGAUUUGCUCAUCGGAAUAUAAGCUCUAAAAAAAAGCUAAUUAUCCCAUAUUGUUAACUCAUUCUAACAAUUAAGAAUAUUCUAAUUCAUACCUCAAUUCUUUCUUUCUAGCUAAUUCCUGCUCACCUAGCCCUCUCAAACACAAAUCACUAAACCUUCUUCAAAAAACCAUUCUAGUGCUUUAAAGAAAGAGAGGAAGAAAAAGCUAAAAAAAGAGGUUGAGAAGAAAGCUCCCAUACGUAUGAAGCUGCCGGCUUGUUGGCUGUAGAUAAGACUAAGAAAAAAUGGCAAUUACCCCAGCCCUCCACAAUGCUAAAGCAUACUGCAGUUUUCACCCAAAACAGAUCCCUGCAGUUACGAAACAGUCGCUUGCAGCUUUACAAAACAGUCCCGCUAGCAGCCGCAGGCCUUGCUAGCCCAUUCUCACUUCUAGCCUCGCCCGAUUUCAAUCCGCAACACUUCUAAAACAGCUAAAUCUCAUGCCCAACUACAAUUUAAUUGGAAGCAUUUAAUUUUCAAUUUUGUAUUAAUUUGAAUCAUUUUGACUAAAUCGACUAAAAUUUCAGCUUUUUUAGCAAUAGGCAAUUGGAGGUCUUAGCCACUUCGAAUUCCAUUCGUGUCUAUCUCAUCACUUUAAAAACAUGUCAAUGCUGUUCCAGCUAUAAUUAAGUUUAGAAAUACUUAAAUUUCCAUUUUAGCAUUAUUGGCGACCACGAUUUGAUCACAAUAAGCUCGAGAUAAAUUUUCCAGAAAUGCAUUACAAUCUCCCCUCUUAACAGUUUCGUCCUCGAAACUUAAAUCAUACCUUAGUCCUGCUGAUCGAAUAGAUGGGAUAGGAUUCAAGGCCAUAGCUUUUCCAAGUACCAAUUGGCCUCUCUCCUGAGUGAUUACUCCAUUGUACUUUCACGUAGGAAUAGUGCGAUUUCGCAUUUCGCGUUUCUCGGAUCAGGAUGCAUACUGGAUACUCUUCAUAAGUCAAUCCUCUUGUAAAUCUUAGCAGGCUCGUACUCCAUCCAGCCCAACAUGCCCUGAAUGGUGGCACAUAUUUUCGGAGAUUCGAAACAUGAAAUACAUUGUGAAUUCCCGUCAGAAGUUGCGCGUAGAGCGCCAAUCUAUAAGCUACUGCUCCAACUCGCCUCUAGAUCCGUAAGGUCGGCAAUGUAUGCGAGGACUAAGCUUUCCAUGCGAACAACCAAAUCUCUUUAUCCCGCGCAUUGGGAUACUUUCAGAACACCUUAUCGCCACACGCAAUCCAAAUUCUUUCGGCGCUUAUUUGCAUAACUCUGCUGUCGUGACUACCGUCAGCCAAUCUUGGGCGGACUAGGCGACCUUUUCCUCCGGCUCUCUGGAGUACAUCAGGACCAAGAACCAUCUUUCACCCACUUCACUCCACAUGGAUAGGGAUCGAAUUUCUCUUCCGUAGAGGGCUUCAAACGGUGCCAUUGCGAUGCUUUCCUGAUAACUAUUAUUAUAUGCAAACUCAGCCAUCGCUAAGGAAUCAUGCCAACUCCCGCUAAAGUCAAGUACACAUGCCCGUAACAUGUCCUCGAAUAUCUGAAUCGUCCUCUCAGACUGUCCAUCGGUCUGAGGAUGAAAAGCUGUACUAAAGUCAAGACGUGUGCCAAGAGCAUCCUGUAAACUCCUCCAGAAGUGAGAUGUAAACCGCGGAUCUCGAUCAGAUACAAUCGACGUCGGGACUCCGUGUAAUCUCACGAUCUCGUCGAGAUACACCUGUGCUAACUUGUCUCCUGACCAAGUAGCAUGAAUCGGCAAGAAAUGCGCCGAUUUCGUCAGUCGAUCAACAAUCACCCAGAUGGUAUCAUGUCCAGCCUGUGAUCGAGAUAAUCCAACAAUGAAAUCCAUCGCAAUGUUCUCCCACUUCCAGACUGGAAUAGGCAAGCUCUGUAACUUCCCCGCAAGAAAUCUACGCUCAGCUUUCACUUGCUGACACGUUAAGCACUGUGCUACAAACUGUCCAACAUCCUUCUUCAUUCCAGGCCACCAAUAAUGCACUUUAAGAUCUUUGUACAUCUUAGUGCCACCUGGAUGUACACUAUAAGGUGACUGAUGAGCUUCCUGUAGUACAGCCCUCUGAAUCUCUUCGUCUUUAGGCACACAUAACCGGUUUCGAAACCGAAGUGCUCCGUCAGAUCCCACUGUAAAAUCAUCCCCUUGCCCGCUCUCAACUUCACCCCGCACCUUUUGGAGAUUCGGAUCCAAAGAUUGCCGCUCUUUAAUCCUUUCCAAUAAAGUCGGUUGAACAACUAGGGCGGCAAGAAUAGCUGGUACAUUUGGAGCUACUACCUCAAGAUCAAACCGUCGCAUUUCCUUCCACAAUGACGGUUGGUGGGUGAUCAUCAUAGCUAAAUUCUCUACUGACUUUCUACUCAGGGCAUCAGCAACCACAUUCGCUUUUCCCGGGUGGUAUAAAAUAUUAACAUCAUAAUCUUUCAACAAUUCUAACCACCGGCGUUGUCGCAUAUUCAGCUCUUUCUGGGUGAAUAAAUACUUCAGACUCUUGUGAUCUGUAUAAACUUCACAAUGCUCGCCAUAAAGGUAAUGUCUCCACAACUUCAGUGCGAAGAUCACCGCCGCCAAUUCCAGAUCAUGAAUAGGAUAACUCUUUUCAUAGUUCUUCAACUGGCGAGACGCAUAAGCAAUCACUCGACCACUCUGCAUAAGUACACACCCAAGUCCACUGUAGGAAGCGUCACUAUAGAUCACAAAACUCUCCCCCGAAAUCGGCAAGGCAAGAAUAGGAGUCGAAGUCAACCUUUCUUUCAACUCCCUAAAGCUACGAUCACAUUCUUCGCUCCAAACAUAUUUAGUUCCUUUAUGUGUAAGGCGCGUUAAUGGAGUAGUAAUCUUCGCAAACCCCUCCACGAACCGCCUAUAGUAUCCCGCGAGUCCAAGGAAACUGCGGAUCUCUGGCACAGUCGUCGGGCGAGGCCAAUCUUUAAUUGCCUCUACUUUCUUUGGGUCAACAGCUACACCACCCUCAGAAAUCACAUGCCCCAAAAAUGCGACCUCUCGCAGCCAAAAUUCACAUUUCUUCAAUUUGGCAUAUAACUGUUUCUCCCGAAGAAUUUGCAUCACUGUUCUCAAGUGUUCUUCGUGCUCCUCAUUACUUCGAGAAAAGAUCAGGAUAUCAUCUAUAAAUACCACUACACACUGAUCCAAUAGCGGCUUAAAGAUCCUGUUCAUCAGAUCCAUGAAUGCUGCAGGGGCAUUGGUCAGCCCAAACGGCAUCACUGUAAACUCGUAAUGACCAUAACGAGUGCGGAACGCUGUCUUGUGCACAUCUUCUGGUUUGAUCUUCAGUUGGUGGUAACCCGAUUGAAGAUCAAUCUUCGAAUACACUCGUGAACCUUGCAACUGAUCAAAUAAAUCAUCGAUUCGCGGCAAUGGAUAUUUAUUCUUGAUUGUGAUCUUGUUCAGUUCACGAUAAUCAACACACAGUCGAAGCGUUCCGUCUUUCUUCUUUACAAACAGAACUGGGGCUCCCCACGGUGAUACACUAGGCUUCACAAAGCCUUUAUCCAUCAAGUCCUGUAACUGAGCUUUCAACUCUCUCAACUCAGCAGGUGCCAUUCUGUACGGAGCCUUCGAAAUGGGCGCCGUUCCGGGAACCAAGUCAAUAACGAACUCAAUUUCCCGAUUCGGCGGCAAUCCCGGUAACUCCGCAGGAAAUACAUCAGGAAACUCUCGAACCACUGGAAUAUCACUCAGUGCUGGAAGUUCCUUUUGAGUCUCCACUACAGUCGCCAAAUAGGCCGCACAUCCACUACUAAUCAACUUUCUCGCCCUCGUCGACGAUACAGUCAGUGCAAAGAGCGAACUCUUGCACGCUCGAUAUACAACUUCCUUCUGCCCGGGUUCACGAAAAGUAAUAACUUUACUUUCGCAAUCAAUCGUGGCAUAGUACUUUGUAAGCCAAUCCAUUCCAAGGAUCAUAUCAAAACCUUUCAUUUGCUUCAACACUAGUAAAUCAGCUGGCAUAAUCCAAUCUCCAAUCUGCACUGGACAUGCCGCACACUCCUCGUGAACACUAAAAGUGUGCUCAGGAGCAUAGACCUACCAAGCAUCUGGUCUAUCCGAAAUCUCAAUAUCAUGUGUUCUAGCAAAUGAACUACUAAUGAAGGAAUGAGAUGCACCAGUGUCAAAUAAUGCACAAGAUCUAAUACCAUAAAGCAAAACAAUACCUGCCACGACAUCGUCGACCACGGCAGGAUCCUCUGCCUGAGCUGCAAAUACACGUCCACUCGGUGCAGAUCGAGGUGUCUCCGUAUGGGUGCUCGAUGCAGGUCGGGGUGGCUCGUACUGACGCGGUACAAAAGAACGUCCAGCUGACAUAGCAGGCGGUAAACCAGAACGCUGUCUAGAGGGUGACUGGGCUGAAGCUGUCGACUGUGCAGAUGAUGCUCCUCUCGGGCAAUCCCGAAUCAUAUGUCCUGGCUGUCCACACUUAAAACAUUUACCUUCCCGCUGUGAACAAGCCGUCGCCCGAUGAUUCCCGCCGCAAAUCACACAUCUCUGCGGUCCCUGAUACCUCUGCUGUGGUCGUGGAUACCGAGGGGGCCGUUUAGAGCUCGACUGUCCCCCGGCACCACUAGUGGUCCUCUUUUUCCCUUUUUCCCUUUCUCGUUCUCUUUCAAACGAUUCGCGUUCAUCACGCGCAAUCGCAUUUCCACGUUCAAUCCAAAGGGCUCGAUCUAAAACUUCCUCAAAAGUUUUCAACUUCAGAGCAUUAACUGUCCUGAAUAUGUCAGGUCGCAACCCGCGCUCGAAGUACUCCGCCCGAUCUCGAUCUGUAUGAACCAUACCAGGCACACAGUUCACCAAAUGAGUAAAUUCCCGUUCGUACUCCCGUACCGAACGGUUCCCCUGUCUCAGCUUGCGGAAGUUUUCCUUCAUUUUCCUUUUAUCACUGUCGGGAAAGUACUCCAUAAAUAACAUCUCUCGAAACUCCUCCCAAGUAAGCGGUGGUAGAUAUGAUGCCCGCUUCUUCUUGGUCUUUUGCCACCAAAUCUGAGCAUCCUUCUCAAAACAGUGCGCUGCCAACGGAACCUUGUCCCUUUCCAAAGUGUAAAGGUCCUCAAACAAUGCCUCCAUCGCUGUAAACCAUGUCUCCAAUACCCACGGAUCUGCUUCUUUCCCGUCAAACAUAGGCGGAUUAAACCGCAUAAAUGUCUCGAGUACCUUUACAAAUCGCGCACGCUCAGCCUCUGUCGCAGUCACAUCAGAAUCAGAGGGCCCAGAAACCAUUGGAGGAACAAUCGGCGGAACAGGAGGCACGGUCGCCGGCGCCUCAGAUACAGGUACCUCACGACCCCCAGGUACUGCCGUUGUCGCCUGUCGCGACAUUAAAUCCUGUAUACUCUUUAUAUGCUCCUCCUGUCUCUGCAUAGCCCCGACUAAGGCGCUCACCUGAGCACGCAACUCCUGAACCUCAUCAGACCCAGACUGCUCUGGCACCUAAGAAAGGGAUGCCGGAGUGGAUCUCGUCGCACGUCGCGGUGGCAUUUCUCCUGAAACGAACCAUUUACAUUAGUAACACAAAACAAAUCAGGCGAAAGCAAUCAAGCGUAUUUAUACUCAACCUUAGCUUUAUGUUGUUGGCCACCAACAUAACUCUUUUUAGUUGCAUAUAAUUAACACUUGGAUCAGCCCCUAAUUAACAUUAGAGACUUACUAACAACUAACCCAAUUUGUUUAGCUUUCGCUAUCAAUAAAUUCACGCCACUCGCGUUCCUAGUCCCUAGGUUUCCAAUCCUAAGUCCCCAAGGUCAUCCUAGACUUUUACUAUCACUUGCUCUGAUACCACUUAAUCUGUCACGUCCCGCUAUCGCCAAUUUGGUCGAUCCGGCCCGUACACAGACGCCGGACGGACAGAACCUCCUCUGACCGCCCAAGGCUCAACAACAACGAGUACAUGUAUAAAGAAUUAAACAACUUCCAGAAUAACAUUUCAGUAUACAUGGCUUGCACGAGGGCAAGCAACAAACACAAGUGAUAGUAAACUAACUAUACAAUGAAAUUCACUGUAAUUUAAAACUUUACAUAACUGAAACAUUUAGUUAUUUACAAGCUCUUUAAUACAUUCAUUUACAUGUCUCUAUACAUCAAAAUGGAUGACAUAUGAACUCAAAAUGAUAACCACUAUACUCUGGUGUCAGCUAACUAAGCUGCAGGGCCCUUGCCUCGAUCCUCAGCUACAACACUUGCACUGGAACCUGUAUGGUUAGUGGUGUGAGAACUACAGAAAAGUUCUCAGUGGGUUCGGCCGCCGACCUCGCCGACUCACCCACUAGGUCUACUUAGGCAUAUGUAGGUAAGAAAAGUAAAGCAGAUAGUAACCAACUAUAUGUAACUACUACAAUGCCUGUACAAAGCUGAAAGAAAGCAAUAUAUGAAACUAUAAAUAUGCAUGCAUGCUUUCACUGAAUUUACCCAAUUCAUUUUGGUUAACCCUCUGGUUAACAAUUACUCACUGACGCUAUCCCAAAUAUCGGGGAGACGCACCUGCACCCGACGGGAUUGUCAACUGGGGGAGACGCACCUCCUGGUCCAGUAAAGAUGACUACUCCGGAGCUCAUCGUUCAAGGAGGAGCGACCUCACUUGAACCAAACAAAUGUGAGUAUGAUCUGAUCCUCCUUUAGAGGAUUCAACAAUAGACAAUGUCACACUUUAACUCUAACUAGCUCUUGAUGCUAGUUUCAUAAUUCCAAUGUCGAUGCUAACCAAAUCUCUAGUCAUAUGUCACCAAGUUCACUAUUAUUAUAGUCCAUACAUUCAUAGGGUUCUAUGUCCACAUUCUAAGGUUCACAAGUUCCUACUGUCGAUAGAAAUUCACAUUUUCACUUGCACAAUGCCAAUUACCCUAUAAUGCAUGACUAAACAAUUAUAAAUAUGCUCAAUGAAAUAUAAUAGACAUAAAAGGUGAUUCAAAGACUUCGGAUAGCACCACCCACCUGUAGGGAUGCUAACAAUUAGAACUCACGUCUCGGGCUGAAUCCACGAAGGUAUCACCCGACUAGAUGCAAAUAGAGCCCAAAUGGCUUCUAUCGUAGACAGCGCGUCGUCAACCUGUCGGAAGUCCAUUUAGACUUUCGGGUAUGAAUAACUUUUAUAUGUACAGUAACGGAAGAAAUUAAACUAGAGUCCUCGCUCAUAUUCUACAAGUUGGCAUUUCCAAACUAUAGAAUGUUGAUCAAAGUUGAUUUCAGCACUAAACUGAAUUCUAGGCCAUGCUGAAUUUUCAGCAUUAUAUCUCUUCUUCGAAUAACUAUUUAACCUCGAAGCUCAGCUGAGCUAUGAUCAAUUUCCAUGCUAAGUUAAUGUUGAAAUCAACUUCUUUUACCAUCAUUUCAGCAUAUACCAAUUAGCUCACUCUUAGUUCCAAUACUUAACAGAUUUCUAUAUUGAAAUCUGCUUCUUAUCAGCUCUAGACAGCAUAUAGUUCUCAACUUAAUUCAUUUUAAGUAAUUAGUUGGACUAUAAUCCAAUAAGGAAUAAACUUACUCUAACUUGCUGCUGAAUCAACUUGUUCCACGCAUCAAUUGGCCUUCUCUUCACUUCGGCCAGCAAUGACAACAAGACUUCAGCUCCGAUAGCCUAAAGUCUUAAGUUUGCUACUCCUUGACUAUGAAGUGCUCUCAGCUUCACACAGCUCCAAUUAACACUCCUCAGCUUCACACAGCUGAUCCCUGGAUUCGAGUAGGCUCCAACAACCAAACUUCGGCUUCAAUCUGAAAUUCCAGCAGCAAAUACUCAUUCCUUCUAAUAAUUCAGUCUCUACUUAAAUUCUUGCAUAUAGACAUACUACAUGUAACUCGUUUCUAAGGUAAGGAGCUUCAUAAUAAUCUAAUAUGGACCUAACUUACCUCAAUUCCAAACUCUCUCAGCUGAUUUCACAAACUUGGCAGCACUAACAAGCGCCCACGUCACUUCGGCCCCUAGCAGCAGCUCAAAAACAUAUAAGUAUUACCUCCAAGGUAAUUUCCUUAAUUCUAAUCAAAUAUUAGACUAAGAAUACCUCAACCAGAUGUUGAAUUUGCUUGCUCCCUGCAUCGAAUGGCCCAUUCCUGCAUUUCGGAUCAGCAGGCUUCAACUUCAGCAACUUUCUAUUCCUAGCAGUCAACAUCCUUUGGUAACUCCUCUUGAAGGUAAGUAACUUGGGUAGAAUCAAAUAUCAACUGAGACUUACCUUAAUUUAGAAACUUCUUCUAAUUAAUUCCAGCUGUAAAAGCCUUCCCUGCUGUCCCCAACAGCAAGAAACACUCAACUUCAAUCAACUCAAGAACACCUAAGCUGUCAGCUACAUAAGGACUAUAUAAGUAUCCUCUCUACAUGAUUAACUGAGCUAGAAAGAAGUACUAGUCAUAUUUACCUUGAUUAGAUGCCUUCUAAGUCUUGUAGUAACUUCAAUCAGCAAAAGUUUCUUGCUGGAAUCAAGUUUUCUUCUCAGCUCACAAAUCAUUCAAGCUGUUACUUCAACUUCUCCUUUUCUUAGCUUAGACAGAGAGAAGGAGCAGAGAAAAAAAUGAUAAGUAUGAAGGGAAAUGAACUCUCUGCCCCUGGACAUGUGUAUUCCACUCAGGGGAAAGGGAUAAGAGUGAAAAUUUGCACUUUAACCCUUUAAUUUCCAAAAACUGCAUUGCAGUCCAGGGUAGCCGCAAUUCUGUACCGGUACAGAUUCUUGUACCGGUACAAGAUGGCAGCAGCAGCAUCAGCAGCAGCAGCAUCAGCAGCUGCUUCACCCCCUCCUUCCUCUAAUCCAAUUCAUUCUAAUCUCAUUCAAACACCUCAAAAACAUUCCAAAUGAGCUUCUCAAGCUACCCAAUUAAUUUGGAAGCAUUAAAUUCUCCAUUUAACAUUAACUUGAUCAUUUUUUAUCAAGUUAACUCAAUAUUUCAGCAGCAGGUGUUCAAUCUCUUGUUUCUCUCAUGUAAUUCACUUGGAUCUUAUUCGGACACAUCCAAAAUCAUCCAAAGAAGCUUUCCAAGCCAUCAAGUUCAUUUGGAAGCAAUUCACAUCAAAUUUGGCAUCAAUUGGACCAUUUUUGACUAAUUGACCCAAAUUUUCAGCAUUAAGUAGGGUACUGUAAUGUGCUGCGGUCCGGCGGCCACGGCCCACAUUUUGCCCGGGGCGAAACGGGCCGCGGCCAGCCCGGCACGGCCCGGCUCCAAAAUCGGGCGUGCGUGCCGGCCAGACGUUUUGGACGCCGGCCUACGCGGGCCCCCCGGCCCGACCUGCACGGGGCCGUGCCGGCCCCGGGCACGGGCUUCGGCGCCAGCAGCUUUUUUAUUUUUAUUAAUUUUAUUUAUAAAUAUUUAAAUUCUUUUUAAAAAUAAAAUAAGAAUAUUAAUUUUUUAAAAAUAAAUAUCAGUACAAAAUUAAAAUUUAAAUCUAUUUAUAAAAUAUUAAACUUUUAAAUUAUUUUCACUUUUAAAAAUUUGGACCAAAAUACCCUCCCAAGCAGUCAAAUUCUUUAACUGUUUGGGAACGGGAAAAAAAACAAACCCCAUUUUUUAGUCCAAGCCCACUCCCAAUGCCACAGCCCAACUCUUUGACUUGUUGGGAGUCCCAAAGCCACAACCGCGCAUGGGAUUGGAGCUCCCAAGCAUUGGAGUUGUGCGCCUUGGAGUUGGAUGUACGCCAACUCCGCAAGGCCCUGCGACUCUGCUGGGCCCGGCUCGGAGGAGCCUGGCCACGGGCCGGCCUGCCGGCCGGGCCGGGCUGGACAGUCUAGGCCCGCACGGCCCAGGCGCUAUGUCGUGGCCGGCCGUGCCGGGCCAUCGGGCGCGGGGAGCAAGCCCAGCACGGCCUGAUAAACCUGGCGCGCCGGGCCGCAGCGGCACGUUACAGUACUCUUGCCGUGGCCUGGCCCGGCCACUCUCCGUGCCGGGCCGGGCGGCCGCGGCCGCCCGCCCGUUUGACACCCUAGAUUAAGGUAACUUGACAGUUGGACUUCUUUUGCCACUUCGAUCCAUUCUUAUUAUUCCCACACUUCAAAAUAUGUCAACAACUGAUACAUCGAUGAACUGCUAAUUAAAGUUUAAAUAGGCUUAAUUUGCAUUUUAGCAUUAUUGUGACCAUUUGAUCACAAUUAGCUCGAGAUAAAUUCUCAAUGCAUUUACAAUAAUAUAUAUAUAUAUAUGAUAUAUAUAUAAGUAUAUUAUAUAUUAUAUAUAUAUAUAAAUAUAUAUAUAUAAUAUAAUAUAUAUAUAUAAAUUACCUAUACAUUAAUUAUCAUGAUAAAAACUAUAUGUACCACUCCCUUUAAUUUGAGGAGGAGUGAGGCCCACUUUUUUCUUUUUUCUUUUUUUUUUUUUUACUUUUUCUCCUUUUCUUUAGAUUUACUAGGCCUAAAGAGUUUUUUUUCUCCCUUUUCUUUACCUUUUGGUCUUCCACCCUCUCGCUUAAAUUUGCAAAUUCGAAUUUUGUUAUGUUUCAAUUCGGAGUCAAUUAUUGAUUAAAAGUGAUAUAUAUAUAAUUUAUAUAUAUAUAUAUAUAUAUAUAUAUAUAUAUAUAUAUAAUAUAAUAUAUAUAUAUAUAUUCGGUUGCCGACAGACACUUUUCCGGCAUCCGGCACCUCCGGCCACCUCCCGUUGGUGGGCACAACAUCUCUGAGCAUCUGUGCUGGUCCGUACUCCCCCAAAUUUCAGGUAUCUGUGUCCUGAACUGCUGUUUGCAUCAGUGCCCGCCAUGUGUUCGGUAAAUUGACCAUUUCUUGUUUUGGCUUUAUGGUCGAAAAUGGGAGUUCUUAGGAGCGUUGCAAUCGUGAGGAAAUUCCCUACACGAUGCUCACCUUGUUGACGUGAUUCUUACGCUCGGUGGAAGCCCGAACCUACGAUGUACUCGAAAUCGGCUCCGCGCGGCCAAUUUUCGCUCUCCGACGGUCGGCGAUCAUUUGGGUGAAUACUUUGUGGGUUCGCUGCAGCCAGAGGAGUGCUGACAAACCCCGUGAACUGCUGCUCCACUUCAGAUUGUGGAAGUUUGGUAAAUUGUUCAAAAUCUCCUUUUUAUUACUUUAUUGCGUGCUAUGUGCGGUGACAUUAUGUAUGCGGCUUUUCGACGUUUUUCACGUCGCGUAGAGUGUUGAACAGUGGUGUUUAGUAGACGUGGUUAUUCGGACUUGUGGUCCGAGGUUCUAAAACCGUAUUUAUUUUAAAAUUAGGAUACAAAAUUAAUUCGUAUUAUACCUGUACCGAAUUUUUGCCGAACCCGAAUUAACUAACUAUGGUUUAUAGUUGCAUUGUUGCUAAUGCUAGUUCAUAUUCAUACGAGCCUACUAGUAUAUAUUAUUUUUCGAACAAUAUCUGAAUAUGCAUCUGCGUCAUAUAUGAAUUCGAAAAAAUAUCCGACCAUGUCUAAAAUACUAUAUAUAAUAAAUUAAUAUAUAUUUAUAAAUAAAUAUAUAUAUAUAUAUAAAUAUAUAUAUAUAUAUAUAUAUAUAUAGGCCAUGGCUACUAUACUAUUAUGAGUAUUGGAGCGCUCGUACUCAUAAGUUGUUUUCAAUGAUGGAGCUUCCAAAUCGACAAUCCACUCCGUUAAAUAUGAUCUAGAGUAUUUGAAACUUUUAGAAAAUAACUUUCGUAAAUUUUCGAAAUCAUAAUAAAGUCCAUCAAGUGGGCAUAAAAUGAACGGUCAAAAUCGAACGACGUCCCAAACAAAGAUGAUCGGAUCCUUUAAUUCAAGAUCGGAGUUAUUGAUCUUUAUCUAUGUAGUGAAUAGAAUUUUCUAUCAAAAAUUCAACAAAUUCCGAUUCUUUUACACCGUUAAACUAGCAAGUAUCCCAUACCGGCCGUUAAAAAUUGUCAAAUUUGUGACCUCUUGAUCGUAAGAUAAAUGAUGUCGAAAAAUUAUAAAAUUUGAUUUCUAGAAGUUUUAAAUGCUGUAAAUAACGUUUAACGGUGUGGAUCGUCGAUUCGGAAGCUCUAUCACCGAAAACAACUUAUGAGUAUGAGGGCGGAAAACGAAAACUCGAUUUUUUUUUUUUUUUUUUUCAAAAUCUGUAAAAUAACUUUUCCAAAAAAAAAUUUGCGGACAACCAAACAUUUGAAAAAAAAAUUUCAACCCCUCCGAAAUUUUUUUUGGAGGGGUUUUACAGGGAUCCAAACGCACCCUUAGCCAUUAAGCUUCAACCUAAAACCCUAAUCUUAAUCAACUAUUGCUCUAAACCCUAAUAAGCCUUCUUCUCCAAAACCCUGAUCUUAUUAGACAAUUGCUCUGAACUCUGCUCUUCUUGGUUUACUUCUCUCAAUUUGUUAGGCUCUCUCUCCCAUGAGGUGAAAAUGCCCUCGGUUCCCAAUAAUGUUUCCACCCAAAAUCAGCAGAGUGGUGGGGGAAGGAAAACUCAGGACGAUCGCCGAAAUCAACAAUCGUCAGCUUGGUACCAGUUUCUCGGACUUUUUUUUUAACUCUUUAAUUCUUGAUGUCGUUAGUUUUGUCGAUUGAUUUUGAUUGAAUUUUUGUGCGGAUUUCAUUGUUAGGAGGCAGUGGAUUCUACAGCAGAGGAAGUCCUUACCAGUCGCUUCAGGUUUGAUUUUUUAUCGUGAAUUUUCUUUAUGUUUUUAAGAUUUGAAGCUUUUCGUAGAAUGUUGUGUGUUGUAUUUGAUGUGAGGACAAAGGGACUUUUAUUUUCUUUGUUAGCUGAUUUUUUUGUUUGUCAUGGAUGGGUGUUUCAGUCGAGAAGUGGAUUGUGGAGGAAGUGAAGAAGAAUGACACUUUAAUUGUUGUUGGAGAAACCGGAAGUGGGAAGACGACGCGUGAGUUUGCAAUGAACUUUGCUUAUUGGUGUCCUCUGUUGUUGAAUGUUCAUAAUAUAACAAACUUUUGAUAUCUUGUUAGCGAGAAGUAGUAGCACUGACAAAUAGAAAAUGCAUUGGUAUUAUAUGUUUGAAGAACAAUUUUAUUGAUCAAUUUUGUGGUAUAGCUAUAUGUCCAUAAAUUAUUAUUUUCCUUGUUCUAGAAAUGCCUUAUCUCCAUUGACCUUUGAUGCUUAAUCUUGCCAGUUCUGGAUUCAUGAGCGAAGUUGGCUCCGUGGAUGCUGUUUUCACUAGGAUUUCUUCCCUAAUUAGCUUGUAUAUUUAAACUUUUUUAUCGUUGAAAAGGAUUGUACAUCAAAUUCCAUUCUUUAAUGGUGUUACACCUAACUCGACUGUUGGCCACCACUAUGACCAGAUUUUCUCCACCAAUUGUGGUUGACUGUUGACCUCCCUUGUAUUUAUGCUAUGGCUUAGUUUAUGGAAAGAUGUUAUUGUUCAUAUGCAGAUAGAAGUGUGAUAUGGUCAUUUUAAUAUUCCUGAUAUUUUGAUGACUAUAUACAUUAGCAAUGCCUCUCGCGCUACUAUCGUCAGAUGCUUGACAUUUUUAGAAUAGAAAUUGUCACUUAGAAAGGUGCAUGAACUUCAGAUUCACUAUAUUACACACUACAAGGAAAUGCCCAAUUUCAUUAUAUUAUUCAACUUAUUCUGAUUUCUUAGGAUUUUUAAUGAGCUAGCUUUCAUUUUGUCCUUAUGCAUUGUUUUGCAACUUCGCUAUGUUGAAAAAAUGCUUUACUAGUAGCCUGAUAUCUGCUUCCUUUUUGCUGCCUUCUAUUGUUUUCCUACUUCAGCGUUGUUUACUUUCUUGCACUGGCUCAUAUAUGUAUUUCUUGCAGAAUUGCCACAGUUUUUGUACAAUGCUGGAUUUUGUCAUGAUGGGAGAGUUAUUGGCAUCACACAGCCUCGUCGAGUUGCAGCUGUUACUGUUGCAAAGCGUGUGGCUGAAGAAUGCAAUGUUGAGUUGGGCCAGAAAGUUGGGUAUUCAAUUAGAUUUGAGGAUGUCACAUCUAGCAGUACAAGGAUUAAGUACAUGACAGAUGGUUUGCUUCUGAGGUAGUUUCAUUUGAUAAGUGGUUUUUGCAUUUUUAAUGAGUAUUACAAUGUUUUCUUGUUAUACGUCAUAGAGAACCGGUAAUUCUUUGAUGACAAACAUGUCGUGCUUGAGGCUAGUUUGGCUUUAAAUUUUUUGUAUUUAAUAAUCUUUUCUGUUGAUUCUUCUGAUCUUUUUAUUUCAGAUUUUACAAAAAAUUCUGAUUCCAACACAAGAAUAUAAAUUUGGUCUAGUUAUUAUAAUUGCGGCACGGAGAACAUUGUAGGCGACUUUAUGGUAGAAAAUCUAGUGCAUUAGUAAUGAUGUUUCUGGCAUGGUAGGGAUGUGAACGGACAGAAUAAAUAGUAUCAUACCCUGAUUAUUGGAUGGACUAUUUUAAUUAUUCAAUAUCAUGCCACCAGUUUGGGCAGGAGUAGACCGUUGGAACUUGAGUAGAAAAUACUUCAGGAAGGAGCAUAUGUAUUAAUUUAAAAUGUAUGAGAGUUCUCUUCGAUAUUUGUGAAAUGGUCAUAUUGAUGACAUUGCUCUUAUUUGACGGCGUCCAUGUCUAUGGCUGAUGAAACUCGAGCAUUUGACAUGGAUUUUGAUCUAACAUCUAGUUAUGCUUUUCUUUUCAUAUAAUGAGUAUUUUUGUGCUAUCUGACCUGAAUGCCUUAAUAUUUGCAGAGAAGCACUGCUGGACGCAUAUUUGUCUAAAUACAGCAUCAUAAUUGUGGAUGAAGCUCAUGAAAGAACAGUCCACACAGAUGUCUUGUUAGGCUUAUUGAAAAAUGUACAACUAGCUAGGUCAAAUUCUAUUGUUAAGCAACAUAAUUGUGGAGAUGUGGACAACAACACACAAAAUCACAACCAAACCUCCACUUUGCGGGCGUGUCAGGCUUUGAAGUAUACUCCUUUAAAAUUGAUUAUAAUGUCUGCCAGUUUGGAUGCUAGAGGUUUUUCAGAGUACUUUGGUGGUGCUAAAGCAGUUUACGUUCAAGGGCGACAAUACCCUGUAGAGAUUCUAUAUACAUAUCAACCAGAAAAAGAUUAUCCAGAUGCCACACUGAUUACUAUCUUUCAGGUUUAUUGACCUCUUAUUUACAUGGUGAUCUUACUUUCUUUUAUUAUGCUUUAAACUGCAAGCUAGACCAGGAAGUUUGCUGUCCUUCUCUUUUAUUUUCAAGAUAAAACUACUUCCUUAUCAAUGGAGGGAAAUGGGUUCUUUGAAGUUUCAUCCAUGUUGACGAAUAGAAUAACACCCAAUGCAAGCCAUCUUGAAAAACAUAGAAAAGGGCUCCAAUACGAAAAAAAGUGGGCACCUAUCUUACACACACUUAAACACACAAAAAAGAGAAAAAAGAAAAAAAGAAAAAAACUAGCUACCUUACAAAAAAAAAGAAAAAGAAAAAGAAAAAGAAACACAAUUUAUGAAAUCAAAUUAUCUUUCUAUUACCGACUGUCCCUAGCGCAAGUGGCAAAGGGCUUUGUGGUUGGUACCCGAGGUUCCAAGUUCGAAGCCUAGUUGCUUUACAUUUUCAACUAAGUUUAUUUCUAAAAAAAAUAAACGAAGCGGAUAGCACGUUGCCUUUCUCUCAAAAAAAAAAAAAACCUUUCUAUUUUCUUGAUGUUGUUUUUCGAGCUUUGGAUAUAUCCUUCCAUUUCAUGGUGUCUCCAUGAGCUGUUCAUGUGUCAUAUGGAAGCUGAUCUAUGAAAGUUAAUCUGUUAUUUAUAAGUAUUAUCUUUUAGUCUUAAGCUCAUGCUUGUAAUGUUUCUUUCUUUCUUAGAUCCACAUAGAGGAGGGGCCUGGAGAUAUUCUUGCAUUUCUAACUGGCCAAGAGGAGAUUGAAUCAAUGGAUAGACUUAUUCACGAGCGAGUUCGUCAACUCCCUGAAGGCAGUAAUAAAUUAAUCACUGCUCCUAUCCAUUCCUCUCUUCCUUCUGAGCAGCAAAUGAAUGUUUUCAAGCCUGCCCCAUCCGGCUUUCGCAAGGUAAGUCUAAUUGCUAUCACCAAAAAGAAAGAUUUUUCCCUUGAGCUUUGAUUUUACUCUGAAAUUUGUAUUAGUUUUUGUUUACUUAUGACAUGAAGUUACUAACGCUAUAUACUAAAUCUAGGGUUUAUUUAUGUCAUGACUUACUGACCUGAAAAACUGAAUCAAGAACUUAUAUAGUUUUGUAACAUUAUGGUAGCGUAGGUAUAUAUCUCGCUUUUGUUCUUUUUGUACUAACAGAAGCUAGUGAAGGAAAAAUUGUAGACUUCGUUUAGUUUAUAACAUUGUAGUAGUGUGAGCUUUAUCUGGUUUUAUCACUUUACAAUACCGCAGAGAAAAGAAACAAAAGAAACAAAAUGUUAGCAUUCCUAGCUAUACAGGGUUGCCUGUAUAAGCUAUUUAUUUUUACCUUGUAGAAGAUCUUUUUCCCAAACCAAGUGCUACCAAGCCUUUUCUUGUCACAUUUUGCUAUAUAAUCUUAUCCUUCUCCCUUCUCCCAAGACAACUAUCACUUCAAUUAAAAAAUAAAAUUAGAAGAUUGGAAUCAUUGGAUCAUGCAAGGGGAAUUUAUAUAUAGAACUCUGUUGGCUAUGUAAUACGGUAUCUUAUAAUUGAUUGUCAUGUAGAGUGAAAAUUAAAAGAAUGUCAAAUAGGAUGCUCUGAGGUUUUAGAGCUGAUGUAGCAUUUAUUACAUGUUUUCCUUUUCCUGUCAAAGUCAAGUGUGGGCCAAAUUUGUAGGCAAUGAAGAGUAAUUAGGGAAUAUUGAAGGGUUUGUCAUGCACUUUCUCUGUUUCCCUCUUAUUGUGCUUUCUUCCUCUUUGGUCUCACUUGAUUUGGAUAAUAAAAAAACUAGUGACACAUCAGAUGCAUAACUUAAAAAGUAAAGCAUCAAAUAGGCCAGAUUUCGUUCGGUUCGAUUGUACGUUAUCUUAUAUAGCAAACUAACCUAAUGCUUAAUUUCAGUAGAUUGGUUAUUCAUUCUAUGAAAGUCUCCAUGCACAGAUGGUAGGUCUAGUCUCCCAUUUGGUCAGAUGUGGUUUCUGCUGAUCCUCUUGGUUUUGAGGACCAAUAAACAUGACUUAAUAAUUUUGAUUUCUGAUUUUUAAAGCAGAGUCGAAUUGACAUAAAAACCUAUAUAAACAGAAGUUUGAAAAACUGAUGCUUUUGUAUGGUUCACAUGCACUUUCUAGAUUGUAGUUGCGGGCUCAAAUAUUUGUCAACGCCUCAAAGGUUGUGCAGAAAAAUUUCUCUCGGUUAAGGAAAAAAUUGAAACUUAAUAAAUUUAAAUUAAAUGAGAAAAGCCAAAUAAAUAAUUCAACACAAAUACUAAGCAUCAUAAAACAAAAAAAAGGGAUGCUGUUAAUAUGAUUUAUAACUUUAGAUUUGUAGUGACUAAAAUAUUAUAUGCAGUUAUAUUUGGAAGCUUGGUUUUGAUGUCUAAGCUGGGCUUCUGUUUAGUAUGCUAGGUUUCUUUUAUUGUGCUACAUCUUUUCCUUGGAUUAUCUUAUUUUCAUCUUGUUGUUGGUUUAUUUGUUUUGAAUUUGCAACUACAGGGGGUGUUUUCAUGAUUUUUGUGGCACUAAUUGUUUUAUUCGUUUCUUAGGUUAUUCUUGCAACAAAUAUUGCUGAGACUUCUGUAACAAUACCUGGUAUAAAGUAUGUCAUUGAUCCUGGAUGGGUGAAAGUUCGUUCUUACAACCCAGUGACAGGAAUGGAGUCAUUAACCAUCAGUGAAAUCUCAAAAGCACAGGCUCUUCAGAGGAGGUAAAAAUGUUAGGCAUUUUCAUGUUUUGACCUACAGGAUGAUGAUAAGAAUUUGGUUUCACCUAUUGGAUAUCACCAUUGUUCAUAAUGCGUUUUUUUGUCUAAUUCGGCUAAAUAUUGCUGUGCUAGAGUAAUCGUCUUAUGAUGUGCGUAUUUGUCAUGUGUCAUAUUUUUGCUUUAGGAACUGUUGAUUUUCAUGUUUUGUUAAUAUUUACAUUUUGGUUAUAACUAAAGAUGUUAGUAUUGUACUUAUUAGUUAAUAAUUAUAUGGAAGAGAGUGCUAAUUUGAUCGCCUUGAUUUCGUUUUUACUUGAAUGUGGGCAUGUUGUAGCCUGAUGCUAUCUUGAUUCGUGGAAACAAAGAUUUAUUUCUUGGUUAGAUCGACUUCAAAAAUCCUUCUUAGAGCCUUGAAUCUUGACCUGGCUAGUUGUUUAGCGUUUUCAUGUGAAUAGCAAUUUCUUGAUUUGUAUGGGGCGUUGGAUGUCAUCAAAUCAAUGCUAUUCACUAAUGAAUGAAUCCUCUAUCAAAAGAGGUUUUUCAUCCCUUUGACGUUGCCAAUUUACUAUUACAUUUUUGAAUAUGCCUCGUUCAUUACUCUACUGUCGGUAAUGAAAUUGUUUACCAAUUUACAUGUAUUCUUAUUGUUCUUUCAAAUUUUAUUGCUUCAAAACAUAAAAAAAUAGAGAUGCUAAAUGCCAUUGAAAUCCUUUUCAUGCUGUUGCUGAAAGCCUGUAUAUCAGUUGUCUAAAUUGUUGCAUAUGAUCUUGCAUGUGGUUUACUUGACCUGACCAGAAAGAUAAGUCAAUCUGUUUGUUUACUAACUUGCUUGAUAAAUGACUAGGAUAUGAAACUAAAUAUUUUCUUACCACACUUUGUUCGUGUUGCAUGUAGUGGUCGCGCUGGUCGGGAGGGCCCAGGGAAAUGUUUUCGGUUGUAUACAGAAAGUGCCUUUAGUGAACUGAAGGAUUCUACAGUUCCAGAGAUCAAAAGGUGCAACCUUGCGAAUGUUGUACUACAGCUCAAAGCCCUUGGGAUUGAUGAUAUAUUAGGGUUUGAUUUCAUGGAAAAGCCUUCAAGGUGAAUUCUGAUAUCUUUUUUAAGAUGUAUGUUGUCUAUGGCUUGGUUUUCUGAGGGGCUGAAGUCUUGGCUUGGUUUUCUGAAAGAAACACUCCCUUUUCACCAAAGUUGGAAAAUUAUUUCAGUCGUUCCAAUGCUUUUCCUUCUAAUGGAAAGACCUUCAAUUUCAUUAAUGGGAAAUUGAAUUUUAUCCAUUUUCUCUGCUGUUCUCCAGGCAAACUACCUUCUUACAUCAUGGGAAAAUGAAACUUUAUUAAAUUUAAUCACUUUCAUUAGAAUAAUAACCUUGUGGUCAGGAAGCUGCUUUACUUACACAUGGGAAGCUGCUUUUGAAUUACACAUUGUGUGCACGGAAGAAAACAAAAAUGUCCUUACUUUGGUCAAAUAUUGGAAAGCAUUCCUAAUUUGUUUGAGUGAUUUGUUCUGCUGAAUGUUUCUUGGAGGUCUAAUAAUUUCUUACGCUAGUUACCAAUAUGUUUGAUGUCUUAUUUGCAGGACAGCUAUAGUGAAAUCUCUGGAGCAGUUGCUCCUACAAGGGGCUCUGACGGAUGACUGCAAGCUGUCAGAUCCAGUUGGCCAUCAAAUGGCCAGGCUUCCUUUGGACCCUAUGUACUCUAAGGCACUCAUCGUGGCCAGCGAGUUCAAGUGCUUGGAAGAAAUGUUGAUAGCGGUUUCAAUGCUUUCUGUGGAAUCUAUUUUCUACUCUCCUCGUGAUAAGAUGGAAGAGGUAUGCACUAUAGUGCUGGAUAUAUUGACAAGCUGAGUCAUCUACUUGGGUGACUCAGUUUAGUCUAUUUAGCUUCUUUUUCUUACACUUUGGCUGGUGCCUUUGUAUUCUCGCUUUUACUUAUACUUUUAGCUUCAGGCACAAAUAGAAAAGAUUGAAGUUAUUGGUGCGGCAAGAAACUAAAAUGAGAUUCAAAGUCCUAAAAGAGAAGUUCUUAUUUGGAAUUUCUACUUCUUUUACAGACAGAAGCUACAUGUGUCAUUUUUAUGAAGUACUUCCUCUAGUAGUACAAUUUAAACAUUGAUGAGUGCUUCCUCUUGUAGUACAGUUUAAACAUCACUUCAUCGAAUAGUACUAUAUCCCUGCAAUACCACCAAAAAGACCGUUAUUUAAUAAUGCCCUAUGUAUCAUGGAUGCGGCUAUAAGCCUCGCUUAUCCGUAUCAGACACGUGUGUCCAUGUUGGACUCAUGUCCAAUGCUGACGUGCCAUGGAUGAGCGUGGAAUCCGAUGAGGACGCGUGACACGCGUCUAUGACGCAUCCCAUAAAAAAUAUAUUUUUUUAUUUUACUAUUUUAUGUGUAUAUUAUGUAAGAUGAUUAUAUUUUGGGUUUUUGAUGAAUGCUUACGAACUCUUUUUGGACGAUAUAAAUAAAUUAUGUAUGAUGGAGAAUUUCUUUCUUUAGUAUAUAUGAACUAUCAAUGUGAAUUUUACCAACUUUAAUUCGUAUGAGAAAUAUAACAAAUAUUUAGCAAAAUUAAUAUUUUAUAUAUAAUUAACAUAUAUUAUUAUUAAUGAUAUGGGGCUUUUGCUUAUAUUCCCCUUACUAUUAUUAAAAAUUUUCAAGUUUAACCCUCAAUAUCCAAAAUACCCUAGAGGGAAAGGAUAUAUUUGAAGGAAUUUUUUGAAAAGAAUAAGGGCAUUUUGGUUAUCUAGGGAUAAAUAUGAUAUAUUUGAACUUUUGAAAGGCAUAUUAGAUAUUAUCCCUAAUAAUAUUAUAGAUAUUAUUAGCUAUGUCCGUGUCGUGAGCGUGUCCUAAUUUUAAUUAAGUUGUUGAGUCAGCGUGACCGAGUUGUGUCGUGUCCCGUAUCUCGUAUCCGUGCUUGUAUCCGUGUCCUUGACGCCUAGAUAAUGCCUAACACGGCUGAAUCACAUAAACUGAAACUCUGGGAAACUAUUAUGGACACAUGUAUCCCAAUAUAUGUCUUGAAUCAUAUCCUGAUAUUGUACUUUUUUUACAUGAAACAAAGAAGAAUUAUAUGCAAUAAUCUUAUUUUAGUUUCAUUUGUCUUAUUUCUUGCAUAGGCAAAUGCUGCAAAGAAGAGAUUUUCAAGCCCCGAAGGGGACCAUAUUGCUUUGGUGAAUGUAUAUCGGGCAUCUGCGGAAUGCUUGGAGAAAAGAAACAAUGCAAAGAUGAAAGAGAAAGCGGUGGAAAAGGCUCUAAACAAAUGGUGCAGGGAGAACUUCAUCAACUACCGUGCUCUAAGGCAUGCUCGAGAUGUUCACAGGUUAGCUGCAUUAUUCUCGUCCUUAUUUUUGGUUACGAAGGGCUUACCCUUCUUGAUGUACUUGCAUCAGCGUUUCAUUUUCAUUCAAACAUUUGUCUUCAUUCAACUCAUGUAUCGGGAGAUAGUACUGUUUUGAAUGAGGGAAAAUUGGAGUAAAUAUUUGGCCAAAAUAAAUGCUUUGGGAGAUAUUUACCGAUUUGCUAGGCAAUUGUGGCCUUUGUGAUACCUGAAGAUGGGAGCAUCAAAAACCAACUUACCGAAGAAAUUCAAGUUAUUCAAAACUCAUUAGAUGUUAGAUUUGCAUAAUAGCUCGUUGUAAUACUUGGCAAAUGUUUUUUGGCGUUGUUGUCAUUCAUCUGAUAUUGUCAUCAGUUUAGUUCCUAAAGCUGAAAAUUGGACCUAUUUUUUCUUUUAUUUUCAAAUUUGGAGGAUGAUCCCUUUGCAUAACUUGUUUAUUCAUUUAUUUUUUUUUGUUUUAUCUUUUUGCAAUUUCACAGUCAAAUCAAAGGGCAUGUAGAGCAUAUGGGCCUUGUUCUGUCAUCAUGUGGGGAUGACAUGCUUCAAUUCCGCAGAUGCCUUACUGCCUCUUUCUUCCUCAAUGUAGCAAGGAGAGGACCAGAUAGAUCAUACAGGUUUGUUUUUAACCUACAAGUUAACUUAAGGAAAUUGAUGUAAAGCCACUGAAAGAGAGAAUAUUGUGGUCUACACACGUGGUCAAUUGUUUCUUGGUCGGCGGACUAGAUAUAUUAUAUAGGUUUGUUUUUAACACCAUAGAAGUAAAUGUAAGGAAAUUGAUGUAAGCCAAUGAAAGAGAAGUUUUUGGUCUUAGUCACCUGGUCAUUUGUUUCAUGAUCCAAUAAGCAUCUAGUCAAUCAACCCAAUAACAGCACAAACUAAUUGCAUUUCAAUAUUUGUUGCAUAUCCUGGGUAGAAUACGAAAUUACUUGAACUGAGGUAUAUUGCUCUGCGCCUUUAACAUAAGCAGUGGACACCCUAAGCUCACUUAAGUGCUUUCCUACGGUUGUUCAACUCCCAUUGAGACCAAACUUGGAAUUGUAUUCUCCCAAAGCAGCUGCUUUAAUGCUUUAUACUCCCACAAAAACUGUAAGUGCUAGGAAGCUCUACGCUUUCAAUGCUAUAGAAUGGCGGUGGAAACCUCUACUGGAAAAACUUCUCACCUGAUGAUUCUGAGGUGGAGGCUUCCCACUGUCAUUUCUCAGUGCCGGAAGAUCGGAGUUUGUUCCAAGUGCUUUUGAAUGUAUUGAGCACUGUAAAGCAUCAAAGUGUUUCCAAACUAGUCUGGACAGUUUAGCAGAAAUAUCAAUGCGGCUACCACAGAUAAUAGCCGCAGUGACUUUUCGUUUAGAAUGAAAAAGUAGCCAUGUUCGCUUCAUGGUCCGACUUAAUGGAAUUGAUGAAAGGAACGAUAACGAAACACUUAAAUUAGUGCAGUUGUUGAGUGCUUCAAUUUAAAAGUUGAGAACUUAAUUGAAAUUUACUUGCAUGCUCAUCUCAAUAGAACCAGUGCGUGAUUUCUCGAAUUAUGUAUUCUUGUUUAAUCAUUAAGAUUUAAGUAUGAAAGUUUCAUUGACUAUCUGAAGCCAUUUAAUUUCUGUUACAUGUAUGUAUAUGGUCUCUGUUGGCCUCACUCCCAAUGUUUUUCAGGACUACGGCUAGUGGUCAGAGCGUGCAUAUCCAUCCUUCUUCGGUAUUAUCUGAAAUAAAGCCAAAGCCGGAUUGCAUCAUCUUCAACGAAUUAGUUUACACAACUCAAAAUUAUGUCAGAAAUGUGACGAGGAUAGAUCCAUUGUGGUUGCCCGAACUAGCUCCUCAGUAUUAUGCUGCUGAAAGUUAAUCUUAUUAUGUUGUAUUUAUUUCCAUUGCCUCAAUACAACUUGGCAGCAUAGAUGUUUCUUCCUUUCCUUGUAUGAUAUAACAUUUUUGUAUCAUUAUUGAGUAAUUAUUUAAUGCAUCAUUGAUCUGGAUGUGAAAUGUGAAUUACAUUCAGCUGGAACGGGUUAAGUUGUUUAGUGCCAAGGGCAUAACUUAAUCCUUUACCAACUCACCCAAUUGAAGUUUUCGGACUAUUUUCAGCUGAUGAUUAAUCCUUUCUUCUUCUUCUUAUUCUUCUCCUUCUUCUACUUCUCUACAGCCAUCUGCAGUUGGCUAGAAACCAGAAGCACCUUUCCUUUCCUUCUCCUUUCCUGCUGGCUGGAUAUGCGCAUCAACACCUGCAAUCCGACAAUGCAACAGCAGCUGCAGCUAGGCAAUCAGCAUUAGUGGCAGCCUGGCAGCAGUCAGUGCAGGAUUUCUGAGGGCCCAGUUGCUGGGAUCUUGUUUCUUUGUAUUCUUGAUGAAGAGGAGAGCUUGAGGAAAGAAUUAAUUCAGCUAAUUUGUAAUAAGUUGAGUUCAACUACCGAAUUGGUGAUUAGUGCUGAAAUUUUUAGAUUCGAGCUGGACUUUGGACAAUUCUUUGAUUUUGAUGACAUUCUUUCGGAAAUCUUCUUUUUGCCGAACUUUAGAAGAGUUGGGGACAAGCUUCCCUUCAGCCAGAGCUAGAGAGGAGCCUGCAUUAUUGGUUGUGUUGGUGUGAUUUUCUUUGGGUUUUACAAACCAAAAUGAGAAUUGCUGGAAUUUCUAUUGAUUCUCGAGUUUUAAUGGAAUUUCUUAUAUUUAGUCCAAUUACCUAAGCCUGGAUGACUUGAUUUUGAUCUUCGCUUCAUCUACGACUAGUUGGGAUCUUAUUUGAGCUGAUUUGAAGGUUAGUAGUGAGGGGAUUUUGGUUUUACUCGAGUGCCAACCGAAGUGGCCAUAUGCUGAUUUUAUCAUUGUUAAUCCAAUUCCAACUUAUUGUACUGUGAUUUAUUGGUUUAAAUUGGACGUUUUCAGUGUUUUGGAGCUGAGGAUCACCCAGGUUACAUUCCCCUUUCCUCCCUCGGGUUGUGCUCCUUCCUACGAGUCAUAGGAGCUGCAGCAACAUCAACAUCAACAUCAACAUUCUGCAUCAGCAGAAUUUCAGCAGCCUGUAGCUGAGUUCAAGAUGGAAUUUUUGGAGAUUUUGAAAUCAAAAUUGCUGGGGAAUUGGUUGUUUGCAUUCUUGGUAAAGAGAUGACUUGUGGAGUGUUUUAAUUCAGCAAUUGACCUAGUAUGUUACGUUUAAUUCUUGAUAUGGUAAAGGUCGCUAAAAUUCAGGUUCUAUGCUGAAUUUUGAGCCAGCUGAAUUCUUGAGGGAAUUUCUUUUAAUUUACCCAUAAAUCUAAGCUUUAGAAAGAUUGGGAGUGAUCUUACAUUCAUCUAGAGUUGGUGGGAAUUUCGUUUGAACGGAUUUGAAGGUCAGAUAUUGCUGAAUUUCAGCUUUCAUUGUGGUCUUCAUUCGAGAAAGAGAUUUUUGGUUGAAGCUUAGUUCUUGGAUCUUAUUCCACCUUUGAGCUAAAAGUUUAUGGUAAUUAAGAGACCAGAUGUCACGCCCCGGGGCCAAUUUCAAAAGUCUUUUUAUAAUGAAUAUAAUUUUUUGAAAUCAGAGUUGCGGAAAAUAUGCCUUUUUUUUUUUGAAUUCAACUUAGCCCACGUGACGUACAGACCCGCCACAAAUACAAAGUUCCUCUGACCGCACGAACAGAGUCUCCUUUGUAUUUGCACAGUGUACUAACAGCAACAUCAGAAUCACAACCACAAUCUACAUUCACCAAUCCACAAACAAUCCAUGCAAUGCAUUUCCAUACAGCUAGCAAUCCUUAGGGAUGAUACAUGCCUCUAAACACUCCUUAGGAGCUGGAUGAUGCGAUGCACAAUACAACAGUCAUCCUAUUUAAAAGUGCUUCCCACCCGAAAGCUUUGUUUUUAAGCUCUAUUUAAUCAUUCAUAAAACCAUUCGAAAAAAUAUUUUUAAAACUGUUUCUCACUCGGAAACUUCAUUUUGAAAACCGACUACCUCGAGGGAUAGAAAGCCACAGUGCAUAAAUACAUAAAUCCAAAAACCAAAUAAUCAUAAAUCCCCAAUUGCAUGCUUAAUAGGAAAUCAUCAACUCAGACAGUUCACAAACAUUCAAACAGCAAUAGUGAUUAUCUAACUAAACCAUUUAAUUAUUUAAAUUACUAAAAGCGAAAAUAAAAGUAACCCGGUGACGAUUGCUACCGCAAUCUAAUUAGAACGUCCUCCCGUCGCGCCAAAAGCCAACUCCUUAUCCGAACCACCUAGAAAAAAGGGGGAGGUAAGAAACCACAAUCAAGAUUUUCCAGUGGGUACGACAGAGCCACGAAGGAAAAUCGUAAUUACCGAAAAACAGAGGUAAGGUAAACAGAGUACAGGUGCUAUGAUACGAAAGAGAACUACUGUCACGCCCUGAGACCGCCAGUUUGGCUAAUUCGGGCGCGUCAAACAGACGCCGAACGAACAGCACCUCCCAUAUCCGCCCAAGACUCAACCACGAGAUCAUGUACAAGAAUUCGCCCAGGAACAAUUCAAUGCAUACAUGAUCCAAUCCAACAAGGAGAGAAGCACCACAAGUGCUAUACAACAAAAGCAAGUAACACAAGUAUACACACAAGUGCACAAAAGAGAGAUUCUAUCUAUUACAUCCAUUCAUCCAUAUACAAUCGAUUUACAUCUACAUUUGUAUCUUCCAAAAUAUAGGUACAAGUUCAUCUCAUCAUAAUAUAAGUAUGAAUACAACUCUUCAAAAGCACCUCACCACCUAUACAUAAUCUCUGCUCUCAUAUAUAUAUAUAGAGUGCUACUAAUACAAAAGGAAGGCCUCUACUACCAAUAGGGCGCUAUGCCCUUACCACGGUCCUUGCCCGGCGCGCUCGUGCUCGGUCCUGCAACACAGUGGGAUGAGAACUAUUGUCCAUAGUUCUCAGUAGGUUCGGCCGCCGACUCAGCCAAUCUCCCCACUAGGUCUAGUGGGCACAGGCAGAUAGAUAGGUAGAUAGACAUGUGAAAGCAGUAACGACAUAGUAAGAAAGCUACACUACUAUACCCAAAUCAUAUAUAGAUGCAUGCACAAUGUGAUAGGUAAUCAGCUAACAUGCUACUAUGUCCAAGAAGUAAUGCUAUUUUCUUGUUCAUCCAAUCUCUUGGUUUACCCGAAGGUUCGCCCACGACUCACAUAGCCAUCUCGUAAGGUAAGGAGACUCAACUCGCUCAACAAACCCGAGACCGUCUGCGGGACCCCAUAAGGCUAUCCCUCGGAACCCCAUAAGGCUAUCCCUCGUGUGACAAACUCCGGAGCGUACGCUUAUGUGGAGCGACCACCACAAGUUCUGAACAGACAUGUGAAUAUGAUCCAAUCCUCUCAACUCGAGGAUACCCUAUCCACUAGGGCUAAUAGUCACUCGGGAAUCCACCUAUCCCAAUGUUCAUAUGCAAGUGUUUAACUACACUAAGUUCUUGUUCAAUGACUCAUCACUAGGAAAUCCGCCUAUCCCUAAGUUCACACAUCAGUGUGUCACUCUACACUAAGUUGUAUGCCACUCGUUCUGUUAUCAUUUGUUAGUUACAUGCUACUCGUUAUGUCUUUAUCAAACCAUCGAGUCCAUCUCUUAUCUCAGCACUAUAGGAUUCAAUGCCUCGACCUAAUCCUUAUCUAUCCAUUAUAUCAAGCAUUCAACUCACAUUAUGAUAUCAUCUAGGAAGGUAUAAGGAAAUGGCAAUGCACAUAUUAUCCUACCAUGCAUAUAUGUAAGAGAUGCAAGAUUUCAAUGCACUAGGACAUAAAGAGGAGCCCGGUUGUUUCGGGAUGACACCACCCACCUUCUGGCGUUGUCACGAUUCUAGAAAUGCGAUUCGGCGACUUUACAACGUCGUAUCGGCCUCCCAGGCGAAAACGAAGCUUGGAAGGUCUCUUUUGCCGAUAACUUUGCACAAGUUCGACGAAUCGUCGAACUGACUUCGCCGACACGUCGGAAAGCCUAUCAAUUAGGUUUACACAUGAUCUAAUUAAAUCAAACUCUUACUUUUAGCAAAACCCCAUUUUGGAGCCCUAGAUUGCUACUAAUGCAAAAUACUCGAACAAAGCCCUAGAUUCAUGCAUUUAGCAUCAAUUAGGCAUGCUAGGAUUCCAACUAAUCCAUUUCUAAAUCUUAUAAUCCAAAAUCUAAAAAUCUACCAUUGUAGCUCAAUGGAGCUUACCUCUCUAGCUUGCUCUCAAGGUGGAGAAGAUGAUGAUGAAGAUGAAGAUCCUUCCCUUGGCUUCAAUCUCCACCAAAUCCUCCUCCUUCUUCACCUUCUAGAGAGAGAGAAAGAGCUUAGAGAGAGAGGGGGAGUGUUUUUGGUGUAGGGUUAGGGAAAUGAGGAAAAGAGAGAGAGGGAUGGCCCUCAAGUAGCCCUCAUAAUGCACAAUUGCUGAAAACCCCCUCCACAAUGCAAGUUAUGCACAGCCCAACCCAGGGCAUUUUCGGGUACAGGGAUCGGUCUAUCCCUAGAGGGACCGAUCCCCGAGAGCAAACUUUGCGAGCAGAGUAAUUCUGCCAAUUUUACGCGUAUGGGGACCGGUCCUUCAAUCUUGAGGGACCGGACCCCGAGAGCGAUUCUGUGUGUAGCAUUUUUCUGCCGCUCACCAAGCUUACGGGAACCGGUCCCUCCGCCAGGGACCGGUCCCCGAGAGCAAAUUCUGCAAGUAUGCAGAAUCAUACCAGCUUGCUCUCCGAGGCCCUUUCCAAUGCACUUUAUGCAUUUUCGACGCCUUCGGCCUCUCCGAAGCGUGCCGAACUCAACUUCGAUCAAUUUCGAUGAUAAGGGACAAGUAAUAAUAACUGCUACUGUAAGGAAUACAAUGCUGAGCAUGCCUCAAGGUAACCAACUCAAAAUUGUACCCAAUCUGGUGCCUGCGAUAUUGGUCCGCAGACCUUAGGCGUUGCUUGUCACAUUACCUGCACCGACUCGUGAUUCAUGCGCUCACUGGACGACCUAUCCGGAUAGUACACCCCUGGUCGGUGGCCAAACCGACCUGGUGUCAAUGAAUACACCGAAGUGCUGUGACUGAAUCAUGCUGAUAUGCUCACUGCGAGGCAGAAAGCCGGUGCCUUGGCCGAAGCCAAAUACAAGGGCGUACAAUCCCAAACCACGAUCAAUUAGAUCAAAACACACGACAAAGGAGUCGAUGUGUUGCCUGGACCCAAGGUCCAUAGAUAUACAAAAUGUGCAAAUCUGCUCUACAUGUCUAUCAACAACUAUCAUCAUGAAAUCAAUAAGAUAUAGAUGAACGAACGAUAAACAAAACAACCGACAUGUAGAGACUACAAUGCUGAUAAAGAAGAACAGAGGAAGGUGAAAUGAUCUCACCGACUAUCAGCUCGAAGCACCCACAUGUACUAAUGUUGCGCCUGUCUCCAAACUGUACACGAUCAUCAACCGGACCUACGAAGGUCCACCGGGUUAGUAACCAACCCACAAAACCAGAAUACGUGACUCACAAACCCCACACAAAUCCCAAAUAUCAGUUUCCCAAAAUCGAUCACCGUAACUCGCCGGAAGCCCUGAAAAUCACACCGGAACGCCGUCGGGACCCACUAAGUGUCCCGAAACUCACCGACUCAUACCUCGAGUCACCCACUGUCAUAAAACACAUCGAUUUGGAUAUCUUGGUAGCAAACACAAGAUAACACAACCAAACAAUUAUCACCGGAUAAUUAUUCGGGUUCAGGUCCGAGUUUCCGGAAGUGUCAAUUUCGACACCGGAACCCACAGUCGCUCACCUGUCAUCUCCAAACUCACGAUAUGACGAUGGUGACUAGCCAACAAGGCUUAGCGGCUUAGCGACACAACUCAAGGCAAACAAACAUCGUCGGAUGAAAUCCAAAUCGAAACCGCGUUCCGCUGGCGAAUUUCGCCGAAAAACGCACCGAAAUCAACCUCCAAUUUUCGCGAAGGCUAACGGACCUUGGAUGAUCAGUUCAGAGGUCACCUACCACACGUACGUACUGCCCACAGUAGCCACAAUAUGCACAAUUGCAUAAAAGUCCCUACAUUUACAUAAAAUCCUAUUGUUUUAUGUAAAUGAGGUGAUUUUGUGGCUCGUUAACGCAAACCGAGGACUUCUGAGGUCCGCGAGACACGUACUGACAGGUCUCGAUGUGCCGGAGGCCGUGCUCACGAUCCGGAGCAAAACGCCUCACUGUGGGAGGCGCAGGAGCGAUCCAAAAAUUCUGCGAACCGUGCGCACUCGGGGAAAAUCGCGCCGAAAAAGCCAAUUCGGAACACGUUGAUUCAAAGUGAGGUGAGCACUAUGAUCAGAACUGAUCAGCGAUCACCAUGCUCACUUCCAGAGGCAUUGGGACAGCCUCAGAUCACCAGAAAAAUAAGCGCAAACCCAAAACCAUGCACAGACAGCAUUAAAUGAGGCUCACCGGGCAGAGGAGCUAGGAUUCGGCCGGCGGCGGCUCGGCGGCGGGAGCGCCAGCGACAGGAGGGUGCGGCCAGUGUGGGGAGGUCGCCGCUCACGCGAGACGCCGGCGAGAGGCGGCCGGAGAGGCGGGCGGCGAUGUCCUAGCCCAUUCAAGGAGAGGGGAGCUUGGGCUCGGCUCCUCCGGCGACGGCGACCUCGGGGCGGCGCCGAUCAGCGGCGAGGGUCCCCCGGGGUCAUAAGGAGGAGAAGGGAGGCGGCGGGCGACGGCGGCGGCCGCCCGCAGCUCGGGCGCAGCCGCCCGAGCUCGGCUCGAUCUGCAGACCACGGCGGUGACACCCAAGGCGUGUGGCGGCGGAGGCGAUCGCUCUAGCCGCACCGGUGGGGGCCGGAGGGUCGCGGGGGUGGUCGCCGGUGCGGCUCCAGGCAGCAACGGUGCGGAGGAAAAAUGGCAACUCAGCUCGACCCCCAGCUCGGCCCCCAGCUCGCAGGGUCGUCGCAGCGCGACGACGGUGCUCGGGGCGGCUGAGGCCGACGGCGGAGGUCGCCAGGGUGGCGGGGGCGGCCUCAGGUGGUGGCGGUGCACGAGCUAGGAGCUACAAGGUCACCUCGGCCGAGCAGGCGCAACUAAGUCGCAAGGUGGCUGCAGCGCGGCGGCGGCGUUCGAGGGCGGCAGCAGUCGACGGGGAGGGACAUGUCCGACAGCAGGCGACCACUAAAGGCCAAGGGAGGAGGGUUCGGGUCCCCCUUUUAGCUCGACUCAAGAAUGGGUGAAGAAGUUGGUGGAAAAGGAGAGGGAGAGAGAGAAAAGUGGGUGAGGGAGGACGUGGCCGGCCGGAACUCUGUUGGCAGCAGCCGGUAGGUGUGCGGCGCACGAGGUAAGGGGGGGAGGGCGGCUAGGUUAGCUAGGGGCUAAUGGGGGCUAGGGUUUGCAUGGUGCAAACCCUAGAAGACUAUAUAUACAAGUGCUCGUUUUGCACAAAAGUCCUUCGAAAACCCGAUAUUUAGAACCGAGUCCCUCAUAGCGCGAGUAAAACGCGCGAACACACCACCAAAUUCAAUUUCGCACAAAACGGUACAUAAAAUGUAGAGCUUUCCCGCUUGAUCGCAUCUGUAGCACUUCCCUUGGCGCCGCUCGCAAUGUGUCGGUUGGUGAUCUCUACCACAAAUGACACACUGCUGCGCCCCACAGCCCUUGGACUGCGCUUGCGGAUACUUCGGGGACUUCUUAGAACUCGAUUGUCCCCCCGAACCACCGCCGGGCCAUUUCUUCCCCUUGUCCUUCUCGAACGCCUCGCGCUCAUCCCGCACGCAAGUGUUCCCAUGCUCAACCCACAGGGCACGAUCCAACAUUUCUGCAAAGGUGCGGAACUUAAAAGCAUGCACCAUUCGGAAUAUAUCGGGCCGGAGUCCCCGUACAAAGCACUCCACCCGGUCCUACUCGGUCCGCACCACAUCCGAAACGCAAUUCAGGAAAUGAGUGAACUCCCGCUCGUACUCCCGAACUGUACAGUUGGCUUGCUUAAGCUUCCGAAAAUCCUCCCGCAUCUUUCUCUUUUCACUGUCGGGAAAAUACUUGGCGAACAUUAACCCUCUCCUCCCAAUCGAUCGGGGGAAGGUCCGGAGAUCGAUCCUGCUUCACCCUCCUCAACCACACUCGAGCCCUAUUCUCAAAGCAAUAAGCGGCUACGUAAGGUACCGGACUUCUAAAAUUACGAAGUUACGGUGUACAUUCGGUUGACAAGCCAUUUGAAUCGUCCCGGUGAGGUUCGGUGAAGUUCGGUGAAGUUCUGGAGCAAUCGGGCGUUUCGGUGCGCGUAGGCACGAAAACGAAACCCGAAAGGCUAUGUUGGGCCGUGAGUUAAAUCCGGCAUUAGCGUGGAUGGAAAGAUGAUGAAAACGUGCUCGAAAAUAUGUUUGGAGAGUCUCGGUUCGAUUUGAAAAGAAUCGGAAGUCAAGCGAGCGAAAACGAGCGAAAACAGACGAAAAGCUGAAAUUUGGCUAAGUCUGGAAUUUUGACCUACGGGGACGGGUCCCUCAGCCAGGGACUGGUCUCUCAAGGACCAGUCCCUCAUGCAAGGACCGGUCCCCGUAGCCCAAAAAUGCCCAGUUCGGGCUGUUGCAAGAGAGGCAUUGUUGAGGGGCUUAUUUGCAUUUUGUGCAUGGGUUGAGUGUAUAGAGAGGGUUAGAACCUCUCUCUCUCUCUUUCCCUCACCGUUUCAUCCCUCUUUCUCUCUCUAGACGAAAGAAAAGAAGAAGAAGAGAAAGAAGAGAAGAAGAAGAAGAAGAAGAAGAAGAAGAAGAAGAGAAAGGAGAAUAAGGAGAGGCAAGUGGAGAGCUUCCCCUCCAUCAUCUUCUUCUUCCUUGUGCUUGGAGAAGCUUGGAGAGGUAACCUUCUUAGCCCUCUCAUGGUAGAUCCCUAGAUAUGUGGUUUUGACCUCUGGAAAUGGUUUGAUUGAAACCCUAGCAUGCUUAGUAGAUGCUUAAUGCUAGAAUCUAGGGAUUUGUUGGAGUUAAUUACAUAGAUGCAAACCUAGGGCUCCAAAAUGGGGUUUUUGUAAUUAGAUGGGUUUGAUCUCAUUUAGGCCCUUGUAAAUCUAAUUGUUAGGUAAACGAACACGUUGGCUAAGUCGGUUUGGCGAUUCGUCAAGCCGUUACAAAGAUAUUGAAAAAACGGACGUCGGAGCUUCCUUUCCGCCUGGAGGGCCAAGGCGACGCCCUAAAAUCAUGGGAAUGGAUCCUGAGCACCGUGGCACAUAACCGAAGACCUAUAAUUUUCGGGGCUGCGAAGCGGAGCACGGUUGAGACGCAAUUGCAAUAUCGGGCCGUGCCGGAUACAGGUGCCGCGGGAGGCCGAUUGCAAGUGUCGACAAGCAAUCAAAACGCGAAUCGAGGUGGGUUGUGCUCACCGAAGCAACUAGGUCGCCUUUAUGUCUAAAAAAAGUUAAGAAUCCGUGUUGAUGCAUAUAAUGUAAUGAGGCAUGUAAAUGAUGCAUGUAGCUAAUGCUAAAUAAUGCAUGUUGAUAAUAUGAUGCAAAUGCUAAGUAGAUGCAUAUAAAAGAUAUAGAGAUCAUAGAAUGCAUGAUAUGUAAAUGCUAGAAUGCAUGAUGAGCAAGUUGUAUAAUGCUAGAUAAUUGCAUUAAAUGCAUGUUGACAUUGUGAAGUGCAUACUAAUAUAAGAUAUCAUGCUAGACUCAUAAGAUAUGAACUUGGUUGAUAACUCUAGAUUGAGUAGAGAACUUGACUUUGGAAAUAGGAACAUGAGAACUAUAGAAUACUCGAUUAGACAACUAGGAUGUCGAACUAGAUCGAGUGGCAUCUAACCUAGUGUUAGAGAACAUAGAUUGCGAAUGAAUCUAGAGUUAUGUGACCUAGAUCAAGUGGCAUCUAACGUAGUGUUAGUAACCAUAGGUUAAACAGGAAUGAUAUCGAACCUGGUGUUAGUAAACAUAGGUCGGACAUAGUGAUGUUGAACCUAGUGUCAGUAAACAUAGGUUGAACCCGUGGAUCUAGAAGUUGAGAUCUAGGUAGUAAUGAUAUAGAACCUAGAGUGGCUUUGAAUCUAGGUUGUUGAGUGUAGUGGUAGCAGCCACUAGGAUGUUCUAGGUCGACAGCAUAGGGUUGGUUAUGGACCCUCGACCUGUGGAAGUGGAUUCCGGAAUUCCAGGACCUGUGAUGACCUUGGUAUCGAGGCUAGGGCGUGUGCGACGAUUUCGCCGCCGAGGUUGAUACCAAGGAUGGAUUGGGGGUGAGCGCGCAGAGAUCACUGCCCGGGGCUUGAACCAUUGUCGUGGCGUGUGCGACGAUUUCGCCGCCGGAUGGUUAAGCCAGUUUAUGGAUUAUACCGCCAGAUCGACAUGAGCCAUUGUUGGGUGAGUUGCGAUUCGUUCGCCGCCAGAUAACCAAGUCAAGGGACUUGAACCAGUGUUCGGCGUGUGCGACGACUUCGCCGCCAGCUGGUUAAGUCUCAGGGGGCGGCCAGUGUGCGGACUAUCCACGCAUGAUUGACUCGAGGCCGAGUCGAGUGGUUAGCUUGAUUAGGUUAAUGAAAACCUUAUAAGCUAGUGAUAAAGGGAAGAACUAAGGUAAUAGAGACCUUAGAAGCUUGAGUUGAACUUGAAUUGCGAACCUAAGGUAGUAGAACCUUAGAGGCUAAAUGACAUGAGCUAAUUAAAGUUAGUAAAGUUGAACGUAGAAUCAAUAGAUCUACUAGUUGUUGCGUAAUGUUCAUAUUGCAUAUUGUGAGGCAUGUUAUCUGUUAGUUGCAUAAUAACAUGAUGAUAUAUAUAUCUAUAGAUGUUUUUGGACUAACAUGAUUGCAGUGCCUCCUUGGACCUUUUGGUCGAGCUUUUUUCUUGGGUGGCCGUACCCACUGGGAACCAUGAAGUUGGUUCUCAUCCCACGUUGCUUUGGAGUGUUACAGGUUCGCACGUGAGCGGCGCGGCGGCGCGAGAAAAGGGCGUUGCUCCGUAGAUAGCGCCCUACCCCAGAGACCAGAGUUAGUAGUACCCCGUUGACAUAGCUUAGGGGUAUAGGAAAUGAAAAGAACACAAUGUAUCAAAUUUGUAAUAAGUAAAUGAUGUAACAACUUAGAUUGCAUCUGGAUAAAAAAGAUUUGUAAUUGGGAGGUAAAAAGUGAAUGUGAAUACUUGUAAUAACAUAGGAUGUGUUUAUGUUGUUUGAUACCUUCCUUAUGCAAUCUUGAUUGAAAGGUGUUCCUGGUUGGAACUUCAUACAUUGUAUUAAUUGCGAUGCCUUGAACGUACAGGGGAGACUCUGUCCGCAGUACAGGAAAAACCCUGUCCGUUCGGAGCUGUUGGCGCGCCGCGACCUCGGCCAAAUAGGCGGGUGGUCGCGGGGCUGUGACAGGCUAAGUGUACUUUGUCUUGCUCUAAUGUGUAGAUGUCCUCGAACAAUAUCUCCAUCGUGGCUAACCAAGUCUCCACAGUCCAAGAAUCUAUCACCUCGCCAUCAAAAGUUGGAGGAUGAAACUUCAUGAACUUUGUGAGAGCCGUAUAACCGCGCUCUCGCUCCGCCUCCUCGGCCGCCGCAUCAAGUAUUGAAUAACCUGUAGCCACCGGAGGAACACCCGCCGGCGGGGGACGUACCACUACUGGAGCCGCCGCUAUGCCCCCACCCUCAGCCGCAUUGGGCGCGUGAGACGAGGGCGUGGGCGAGUCACGGCCUUCGGUUGCCGUCGCGGCCGCCGCCGCCACUUGCCGUUCCAUAAGCUCCUAUAGCCGCUCGAACCGACUCUCCUGGCGCUGCAUCGCGCCGACCAUCGAAACGACCUGCGCUCGUAGUUCCUGUACUUUCUCAGAUCCUGACUGCUCAGGCACCACGGGAGACGGUGCCGGAACGGAUCUAGCCACGCGGCGUCUCUUUGGUGCCAUUAGCUCCUAAAACGCAACAACUUGGUUAAUUACCUUAACCCGAUAACUUUCGCAACUACAAGACAACACGACUUAACAUCGCAAAUUAGGCGGAAGCACCCAAGUGUACUCGUUCUAAACUCUUAGCGUCAUGUUGUCGGCCGCCAACACAACCAUUUCGAGUCAAGAACUAAUACCACUUGAAUCCGCUCCUAGCAACCACUAGAGACAUACUGACACUUCAACCCAAUCGAAUCAACUUCCGCCACCGGCAUAGGUUCACGUCUCACUCACGCACCUAUAACCUUAUGGUUACCGUCCUAGGGUCUCCUAGGUCUAUCCUAGACUUCUCUCUUUAUUUGCUCUGAUACCACUUUAUCUGUCACACCCCGCAACCGCCAAUUUGGUCGGUUUGGGUACGUCAAACAGACGCCGAACGACAGCACCUCCUCUGUCCGCCCAAGACUAAACAACAAAGUCAUGUAUAUCAAGUUGCCUAGGUAAACUUAAACAACAUAUAUGAAUCAUUGCGAGUAAAACAAGCAAGUAAUACUACAAGUAAACGAGAGAGAGAGUCCUAACUAUUACAUCUUUCAUUCAACAUUAACAUAAUUGGUUACAUUUUCAUCUCCCAAAAGGUAUACACAUGGUUUACAAGUUCAUCUCAUGACAUAUACAUCUCUCCAAAAGCAUCUCACCAACUAUACAUCAUCUAUCACUCAUGUACAUAGGAUGCUCUAAUGCAAAAAGGAUAGCUACUAGCUAUUAGGACGCUAUGCUCUUACCGUGGUCCUAGCCCAGUCCACUUGAACUAGGCCCUGCAACAAAGUGGGAUGAGAACUAAUAAUAGUUCCCAGUGGGUUCGGCCGCCGACUCCGCCGAUCUUCCCACUAGGUCUAAGCAGGCAUAAGUAAUAGAUAGAUAAUAAAGAAAUAACUGCUACAUGGUAUGUAUUCUACUAACAUGCUACUAUACCUCAAUCAAUAGCAAAUGAAUGCAGAUCUACAUAGUAAUGAUGUAAUAUACCGAAAAUUCGGAAAAUAAAUAUCGAACUUCAGUCAAAUUGACCAAAGUGCGAGGACGGAGCACUUCGGAAAGUCCGAAGGUGUUAAAAUGAUUAAAAAUGAGUUGUGGAAGGUUUUCGGGAGCUAAAGAAUNAUGUGAUCAAAAUGAAUCAUAUUACUUGAGAAUGUUUAGUUCCUUUUUCUUUCACUAAUGGCCAUUGCUUACCCUCGUGUAAGCCGUUUGUGUAUGUUUCCGCUAGUGCACUUCUUAUUGAAAAUGCACAUGUGAUGAGCCUUGGGCGGAUAGGGGAAACUCUGUCCGUUCGGCGUCUGUUUGACGUGCUCGGGUCGGGCCAAAUUGGUAUCGGAUCCGGGGCGUGACAAAUGAAGCCAUCUAUCAUGCUACUAUGUUCAAGAAGUAUAUCAUUCAUGUGUUCAUUACACAAUCAACUUGGCUAACCCGAAGGUUCACCACGACUCACAACCAAAUCUCAUAGGUGAAGAGACUCUGCUGCUACGCACACCUGAUACCGUCUGCUGGACAAGUACGUUAGUCCAUGGGCAAAUACGUUAACCCAUCGUGUGAUAACUCCGGAACCCACUGCUUGGGUGGAGCGACCAUUGCCAAACUCAAAACAGACUAUGUGAGUAUGAUCCAAUCCUCACCAACUGAGGAUACCCUACCAACUAGGGCUAACAAUCACUCGGGAACUCAACUGUCCCUAUGUUUCUAUUCAAGUGUUUCAUCUACACUAAGUUCAUCAUGUAAUAAGUGUUUCUACUACACUAAUUUCACAUGCCACUCGUCUAUGUCACCAUUCAUAGUUUACAUGCCACUCGUCAUGUAUUUACAUAUAUCAAGUUCUCUACCUGUUUCGGCACCGUAGGAUUUCAAUGUCCAGACCCAAUUCCUUAUAUAUCCACUAUAUCAUGUGUCCAUCACAAUACAAUAUCAACUAGGAAAACAUAUAAGGAAUGGAAAUGCAACAACUAUAAUCCUACAACGCAUAACAACAUAAGAGAUGUAAGGUCGACAAUGCAAUCUUAGACAUAGAAGGUAGUUCAACUGCUUCGGGUGGCACCCUCCAUCUCUUGGUGAUGCCGCGAAGCUAGACUCCAAGUUUCGCAAUCUUCCGCGCCUAUUUCUUCCGACUGCUGCAAACGAAGCCAAAAACAGGCAUUUCUUCAAUAUCUCCGCGCAGACUCGUCGGAUCGCCGAAUCGAGUUCACCGGCGCGUUAGAUUACCUAGCAAUUAGGAUUAUAUAUGGUCAAUUUAGAUCAAAUCCUAACAUUUUGCAAAACCCCAAUCAGAACCCUAACAUAUAACCAAUGCAAGAAUCCACUCUACAACUUCAUGAUCCGAGCAACAAUCAUCUACUUAACAUCCUAGGGUUCCACCAAAACCAUUUCUAGAGUAUAUAAACAAAGCCCUAGAAUUUUACCAUUAAAGCUCCAAGAAGCUUACCUCAAUGCUUUCUUCUUGAACCAAGGAAGAAGAUGAAGAAGAUGAUGAUCCACUUUCUUGCUUCAAUCUCCACCAAAUCCCCCUCCUACUUCCUACCUUGAAGAGAGAGAGAAAGAGAGCUUAGAGAGAGAGAGGGGAGAGCCAUUUUAGGUUAGAAUGUGAGGGAGUGAGAGGAGAGAACUCAUAUCACCCUCAAAUAGCUUCCACUAAUGCAAAAUUGCAUAAAAUCCCUCAAACAUUGCAAUUAGUGCAUAACCCAACCUGAGCAUUUCGCAGCUACGGGGUCCGGACCCCCCGAGAGCACCAUUUUUCUGCAAUUUUGCAAAAAUGCUUAUUCAAGCUCUCCAAGGUCCCCCAUAACCCAUAAAAGCCAUUUUCGUCACGUUCGGCCUUUCCGAAGCGUCCCGAACUCGCCUUCAAUCAAUUUUGAUCGAAGUUCGGAUUUACGUAUCGAGGUUUCAUUUCCUCACACUCUGUUCGUUCGGCGGUCUGUUGGCGUGCCCGAAUCCGACCAAAAUGGCGGGUUGUCAGGGCGUGACAGUUCCGUUGGCCGCUCACUACCUGGAGGACGAGGCGUACAGCUGGUGGUUGCGCCUCUUCGAGAAGAAGUAUGCUAAGACGUACUCACCCUGGAAGAAGUUUCGAGAGCUCCUCUACAGUCAGUAUUUCAAGGACAGCACCAAGCAAGGCUUGGAGCACGAGCUGGAGCGACUCAGGCAGGGCAACCGUACUAUGGCGGAGUACGAGCAAGACUUCUCUUGCAUUGUGGGACUGAUCCCUUUCGUGGUCCUCAAUGAGUACCACAAGGCCCAGAUGUUUGCUAGGGGGUUGAAACCCAACAUCCGAAUUCUAAUCGCAUCGCACGGCGUGAUGACGUUCGACGAGUGCCUAGAUAGGGCCCUAAUGGUCCAAAAUGAUAUGGAGGAGGCACGAAUCGAACGUGAUGCAUCCGAGAAGAAUGGGGACAAGAAGCGUUCCCAUUUCAAGUCGAGCGGUGGCUCUUUCUCCCCACAAAAGCAUCCACACACUCAGCAGUCGGCUAGGAGUGUACCAUCGGGCAACCAACGAUAGGGUGAUCGACCCUGUGUGAUUCAUCAUCUACUAUUUUCGUGCGCUAUAUAUUCAUUCGCUCCGAUAGGGUAUCAAAUUGUGAAUUUGAGACGAAAAUCUUCUCUACUACAAUUUGCUAAGCAAUACAUUCUCGUCUCAAAAUUAUUAAAUGUCGUAUAUGAACGAAUCGAGAUCAAUUUCUUUCGACUGCCAACAUAUUUGGGACUAUUUCCAUCCAUAACUAACUAUCAAUCCCAAUGAACACUUAGCCACCGUUUGGUUCGGGGUUAAGUAAAAACUUGUUAUUCCAGGGAUAGGGUUAAGUUCAGGGUUAAGGUGGGGUUAGAGUAAUUUUGUGUUUGGUUGAUAAUUGGGUUUAGUCCAGAUAUAGGUAAAAUAGUGUUUAGUUUGAGUAGAUGGGAUAAGAAGGAUAGUGGGUAAAAUAGUAUUUUGUUUGGUUGUAGUCGGGUGGGGUGCCCACCCCACAUGGGCUAUCACCGGAUAGGCCAUUUGGGGUGGGAUUAGCUAACCCCACCUCCCAAAUUGGGUGUUUGGAAAUAACUUCGGGGUUAAGGAGUUAUUCCACCCUUUAACGCUGAACCAAACGGAUGCUUAGAGACAUCCGACGACUAGCCAUUUUAACUACACAGAAAAAACUUUCAAAUAUUCUCUCAACAUAUUUAGUGAAUAUAAUACAAAAAAAUUAUAAACAAAAAAGAGACCACAUGGAGACUCCCCUACCCCACACGGCAAUAAUCCAACAAAGAUUAUAGAAAAAGUUUGUUGGAAUUGGCAUAUUAAAAACCAGAAAUUAAGGCCUCAUUUGAUAUCAUCUUACCAUAAUGUCUAACUAAACGUGAAGCAAAAUCUCUCAUCUUCGAAUCGACUUUUUGAUCCGAAAAAGAGAACAAAAAUAAAGUCAAUUGAAGACUUCAAAUAACCCUCACAAAAUGGUAUCCUUUUUUUCUUGAAACUCGAUAUAUUAUGGGUAAUUGAAGCUAUGCAAUGAGUUAAAAUAAGUAAUAAGGUAUCAAGUCGUUCGCUCUAAAAAAAUAGAUUUGAAGCUAUUUUUCAUAUAGGUCCCAAUUUUAAACCCUAGAUUUUACAUUUUUAGCAACAAUGGCAACAAUGCCAAAGGAAGUAAAAACAUAUUGACCGAAGAACCUCCUCCGAAAGUCUAGGAAAGAUAACGGUUAAAUUCAAAUGCAUAACAAAUUUGGCAACCUUAAGUUUCAAGGUGAAUGACAAGCCCGUGACAGGAAAAUGGAACGAUUAAUCAAUUAGACAAUAAUCAUAGCCGCCAUGCAAUAGAAAGGGGAACAAGAAAAAGAGACCAUGAUGGUGUCAAAAUACCGGAUUCUUGGACAUCCUCAGCAUAGAAGAUGGCUCGUGAUGAUUCUUGUGUUGCAUGACCGAUAAACCUAACCUUUUUGCGUCGUCACGUACGUAAAAGCAAUGCCUGCUAUAUCAAAAAUAUACAACGCCGAUCGGCCAGACAUGUGUUGUCACUUCAAUAGUAAUGGGGCAAAGAAAGUAUGUGCAAAAAUAUGAAUUUGCUAUGAACUGAUUUGAGUACAAGUAUAACAGCGCUGCUACAUAAAAGUUGGUUGCAAGAAUAUAUGUACAAACUAGAGAACAAAAAUUGAAGAAAACCAAAGCAAAAACCCUUCACCGAUUCGACGUGGAGCAAAUGGUCGUGUCGGUCUUGAUAACUCUGGUGUUGUAUGAACCACAGAAGCUGCAUUUGUGGUAUAGCCAGUGGAAUCGAGAUACACCCAUCUUGUUACAGUCGUUGCACAGUAUAUCCUGCACCAAUUCUUUAAUCAAUUAGCAAUCUCUUCACUAAUAAAAAGGAGUAAUAGUUUUGAUUGCGAGAGGAAAAUGCACCUGGCACCGGUCCCUGUAUUCCUCGGGAAGUUCUUCAGCAGCAAGCAGGGCAUCAAGCAUGCCGAAGUAAACCUGAAGAUUGUCCAAAUACACCUUUUUGUCUCAAUAGGCACCAGAUAAAGGAAAAGCAUCUGGCAACUAAAUGGAUUCUCUUGUAUAACAUCAGACGAUGUUAGCACACAUGAUAAGCGUUGUCAUAUCUAUCGAACCCAUAACAAGCUAUUAGCCAUCUAAAUUACAAGAUAGAAGCACAUAUCUAUACACCCAGAAAACAAAAUUGUGAUCUUAUUUAUGUAGACUAACGAGUGAGUUUUGGACCAUUUAAGAAGAGGUGAAAAAUAUUCAAAUAUGUUUCACAGGGAAUUAAGUGAUUUCUAAUGUGUUUUAGGAGUUCAAAAUCAUUCUGGAAGUGGCUAGCAUCUGCAAUAGUGGGAUCUCAAGAACAUCUUGUUAUCUGAAGCCCCUAGAGGGGUAUGAAUUGAAGAUAUUAUUACUAUUGGUCUCACAACAACCAUAUCCAGAAACCAAUCCAGAUGAACACAACAUGGUGGAGCUAUACGUUAAGGAACGGCUCAAUAGUGAAUUUUAAUUCCCUGUCAAGCUAUACGUUAAGCAUUGCGAAGUAACAUGAAUAUAGAAUAUAAAAUAUAAAGACACCCUUCUCUAGUUGCUUAAGCUAUUAAAGAACAAUGGUUGUUUCCUAUAAUUUAACAUAGUAUCAAAGCAAAAGAUCAUGAGUUCGAGUCCUAAUAGGGUUCUAACGUUAUUAAUUUCCUCCUAUUUAAUUCAAGUCAACAUCUCUCUAGUAGCUAAAGCUAUUGGAGAACAACGGUUGUUUCAGAUAACUUAAUGACUUUGCAAAGAGCAUCUUGAAGGAAUAUAACUAAUUUUGUCCAAAAGAAAGUUAGAUUUUGUAUACAUCUUCUCAUGGAAAAAGACACUUGGGGACCAUGACAAAUGAUAGCGGACACAGAAGCAGGGCAUCCAGAAGGAUGUUUGGAGAAAUAAAAGGAAAGUCUUGUCAUUUGCAGCACACCACUGAAGCAACUGAGAAACUUGCUCCAAGCCUACAGUAAGUUUCAAGCAGAGUCCAAGUCAAUAUAUUUUGGUACUAAGCACCAUAGCUCGACUAGGGUACAGGAAAACUAAGGGCAGGUUCAUGAGUUCAUCCAUAGAAAAGACUAGAAUAUUCAGUUGACUAUGUUCCUGUGAAAUCUUAAAACAACAUUAAAUCAUUAGACUACAGAAAACCUUUACGCGUCUGGAAAUAGGCCUUGGCUAAACUAGGAAACAAAAAUAGCAAUAUGCCUUUCAAAUGUUCCCAACCUAAUAAUCCUAUUACAAUAAUUCUUGUAAAUAGUAAUGCCACCUCACAAACAAGCUUGCGACAUGCCUUUGGGAACUUCCUAGUCAUUAUCACAUCUAGGGCAGGCUAUGUCCCCAGUUCCAAAGAAGACAAGCUAGCACGGUCAUGGUUUACAAUCAUAGCUUCCAUACCUACUCAUUUUGGAUCAUUUACCAAGAAUCAAAGUCAGAAAAGCCAUUUUGAGGCAGCUUGCAGAGAUGUCACCACUCAGCCUCCUAUGGCAAUAAUAGUCUUGAUGUUUGCAGUUCCAACUUUGUUCCAGGGCAAAGGUUUCCAUAGGCCGAUAAGAAACCAAAACUAGUUUUCCAAAAGAGAUUUCUCUGUAGUUAACAUAGUAAUUGCCUUUAGUACCAAUUGAUCAGCUAUUAAAUAUAGAGGCAAAUUCUCCCCAACAGCUAUCAGCAAAAUCUGGAAAAACAGAGUAAAUAAAAUUUGAAACUAAUAAAGGGUCCCAACAGGACCUAGAGCCGAACAGAACCUAGAGCCAAUCAAAACUCAAGAUUGAUUCUGGAGACAGCAGGAUCAGCAAACAGGGAAAGCUCAUAUAUGCCUAACACGUAAUUUUUGAGUUGAAUAUGUAGACUCUAGCUUUUUUUCGUUUUGCUCAAAAUUCUCAGCAUGCGUCUCCACCAAAACUAUUCAAGCUUUACAGCUACAACAUAAAUUCAACUGAGCUGACCAAAACCAGGGCCCGCUAGUAACAUCGAUGAAAUUAAAAGACUGACUCAGCUGGCACACAGCUUUAGUAGGCAACACAAGCUCAAGGUGAACCUCUAAACUAGUAAUUAUAAUAGGCUCAGAAACUAAACCAAAUCAAGAAUUAAAAACCACAAAGGCAGAGGUAAUGAAAAAUCAAAGCUAAAAUAUUAGCUGCUAAAUAGGACUAAAUGUCUUGCAAUGAGAUCAAUAAAAAACAGAGAGGCCACCCAUGUCAACUAAUGAAUAUCAAAAUCUCAACAUGCAAAAAGUUUGUCACAACUAUUCAGAGUAAAUCAGAUGACAGCAAUCUCAAAUUCAACAAAAAUUGUUCAAAAAAUGCACAUGAAAGGAUCAGUAGCUGAUAAACACUUAGAAACAAAAUUCACUUUGAUUUCUUUUUCUAGUUAGGUAUCAAAUAUGUGCAAUACUAUAUAGUAUGCGAAAAGCUUCUUAAUUACUACAUAACAUGGAAGAAACAACUGAAACUUUUCUUGCAUAAGGGUAUGAAAAGUAGUCUCUUACCGCCAUAUCUCCCAAGGAUUUGCUACAAAUUGGACAAGUAUAGUGACUACAAGUGUACGCCUGCGAAAUGAUAGAAAUAGUUAACAAAUAUCUAAAUCCUACAACCAACUCUUUAAACUGUCUUAUUAUCCAUAAAAAAACAAAAAGAAAGAUAGAGGUUAUGUAACAGGGAAAGAGAGAGUAAAUAGAACAUAUCCAGUUGUUCUCAGAAGAUCUCAUGGAAGAGAAUAUACCUGAAAACAUGCAGAGUGCAUGAAAUGGCCACAGGGUAGAGCUCGUACUGCCGCACUUGAUGUAAACAAAAAAUCACAACAAAUGGGACAGUUUGUCUCCAAACUCUUCUCCCGGCAUUUGUGCUCCACUAACUUCAUUCCCAAGCAACAAUUGCAAGUCAUGCAAUGGAAGAAGUCAAUACCGAGUCCUUUCCCAAGGCGACACAAAUUACAAGAUGGACAGUGGUAUACACUCCUGAAAUGUUGAGAACUCCAGCAUUUAUAAUCUUUUACAGUAUAAUGCAAAUAGAAGCUCUUAAUUAUGCUUGAUUCCCUCCCCCUCUCUCUUUACUGCUACCCAUGCUUUAAUGCAAACCAUGUAAUGCUCUUGAUCCAUAACGCCACAAGAACAAAAUGAUGGGUUCUACAGAAGUUCGUAUUAUGUGAACACUCUCAGUUAUAAUGCUUAGGCAAUAAUAAGACUAGUUUUCGCAGUUUUCUUUAUAAAGGAAAAAUUAUGGUAUUCCCUUAGGCUAUGUUUGGUUGGGGGUUAACAUUCAUAGGAAUAAAUUUUUUUAAUUCUUGAGAUAACUAGUUAUUCUAGGGUAUACAAGUUCGUUCAAAAUUGUCUGGUAGAAUAUUCUUUUAUUCUUAAGACUAACAAAAAAUGUAUUUGAUAGGUAUCUCAAGGAUGGUAAAGAAUAAUGAAAUAUAUAUAUAUAUAUAUAUAUAUAUAUAUAUAUAUAAACAAUGCAAAAUUAAUACAUUUUAACAUAUUAUAGGUUAUAAUCAGUGUUUGAAAAGGCGCGAGGCGCAAAAAGACGCAAAACUCUCCUGGAGCCUAGGCGCGAGGCGCACUGCGAGGCGCGCGCCUCAAGAAGGCGAGGCGCACAGUAAUUUAAUUUGAUAUUCUACAUUAAAAAAACUCCAAAAUAACUAUACAAAACUAAAAUAACUAGUCUCAAUAUAUAGGUUCUCAAGUUAAAGGUUCUCAAGUUAAAAAAAAAUAUAUUUCGACUUUCAACUUAAAAGUGAUUGUGGUGCCAAUGUUUUCAUUUGGCCUCAAGAAGGAGAAGAGAGCGGUAAAAGAAGUGAUAGGAGGAGAGGGCGGUAGAUGGAUUUCAUUAGGGUUUGUUUUAGGUUUCUUUUAGAUUCCUUUACUAAUCUUAUCGGGCUAAAAUAUAAAAUUUAUAUCCGAAACCCAAUAACCCAAAAUCUUUAAUCCAAAAUCCAAAAAAUAUUAAAUAUGCCGAGGCGCGCGCCUUAUGUGCGCCUCGCGCCUCGCCUGAGGCGCGCACCUCAGGGCCUAGGCGCGCACCUCAGCAAUAGCGCCUCGCCUCGCUAUUGCUGAAGCGCGGAGGCCAGCGCCUCGUGCCUAGGCACUGAGGCGCGCGCCUUUUCAAACACUGGUUAUAAUACAUACUGUUUUAUUUAUUUAUAAUAAUAAUAGUAGUACUUCUGCUACUAAUAACAAUAACAAUAAUAAAUAUUAUUAUUAUUACAAAUAUAAAAAAUAAAAUAAAACAUCAUUAUUAUUAUUUUUAUUUUUAUUUUAUUUAGCUAAAUAUAAGCAUGAUUAUAUCUUUCUUUAUUUUUAACUAGCUAGAUACAAGCAUGAGAAUAGCUUUAUUCCACUAAAAAGUUGGACUACUUGUUCCCAGGUUAUUCUAGGAUUACUUAGAAUCAAGGAUUUAAGUGCCGUGGCACGGGGUCGUGCCGGAAACUUGUCGGCACGGUACGGCACGAUGUGUGCCGAGCCGGACCGAUGCGUGCCGGUCAAAAAAAUUCUUGUGUGCCGCCACAUAAUAGCAUGAAAUAUUUAUUUUCUUUAGCAACAAAAUAUUCUAACUAUUUACUACGUCUUUUUAUCACAUCUUUUGAACUUUAUUGAAGAAAUUACUUACUAAUUUAAAGAAUAGAAGGUUUUGAGCUGUGCCAUCGGCACGAAGUCUGUAUAGUGCUGGUAUCUUGUUGGCACAGUACGGCACGUUAGAUACGGCCCGUGCCAACAUUAGAUACGGCCCGUGCCGACAGGCACUUAAAACCUUGCUUAGAAUAACCUGCUUUGGCCGGAAUAGUUGCCCCGACCAUUUUUUUAAGGCGUUUGGCGGAAUAGCAGAAUAAAUUUUAUUGUCCUCGAUUUAUUCACAAACCAAACAUAGCCUUAAGGAGUGUAUUACUGACCAAGUCUUAAACCUAAAUAUACGCCACAAUACUUUAUGUAUUAACUGUUGAAACUAACACUAUGGAUUCCAAAGUUGAUCAGUUCACAAUCAAACAGAUUGUUCGGGCAGGUUUGAAAGUUAAACUGUGAAAUCAAUCUGUUUAUAAUUUGUUGUUGCUUAAUUCAUCUUAAAUUAAUAAUUCUGGCAUAUAUAUAUAUAUAGAGAGAGAGAGAGAGAGAAAGAAAGAGAGAAAGAGAGAGUAGGGCUACUAUACUCAUAUGAGUAUAGAGCCCUUCGUACUCAUAAGUUGUUUUCGAUGAUGAAGCUUCCGAAUCGACGAUCAACUCCGUUAAAUAUGAUCUAAAGUAUUUGAAACUACUAAAAAAUAAAUUUCGUAACUUUUCAAAAUCAAAAUAAAGUCCAUCAAGUGACAUAAAAUGAACGGUCAAAAUCGAACGACGUCCUAAAAAUAGAUGAUCGGAUCCUUCAAUUUAAGAUCGGAGCUACUGAUCUUUAUCUAGAUAGUGAAUAGAAUUUUCUAUCAAAAAUUCAACUGAUUCCGAUUCUUAUUCACCGUUAAACUAGCAAGUAUCCUAUAUCGGCCGUUAAAAAUUGUCAAUUUUGAGACCUUUUGAUCGUAAGGUAAAUGAUGUCAAAAAAUUAUAAAAUUUGAUUUCUAGAAGUUUUCAAUGCUCUAGAUAAUAUUUAACGAUAUGGAUCAUCUAUUCGAAAACUCUAUCAUUGAAGACGAUUUACGAGCACGAAGGCGAUCGUAUUCAUAAGAUUAUAGUAGCCGGACUCUAUAUAUAUAUAUAUAGAGUAGGGCUACUAUACUCUUAUGUGUAUAGAGCCCUUCGUACUCAUAAGUUGCUUUUGAUGUUGGGACUUUCGAAUGGACGAUCCACACCAUUAAACAUGAUCUAGAGUAUUUGAAACUUCUCGAAAAUAAAUUUCGUAAUUUUUCGAAAUCAUUAUAAAGUCCAUCAAGCGGGUAUAAAAUGAACGGUCAAAAUCGAACGAUAUCCUAAAAAUGAAUGAUCGGAUCCUUCAAUUUAAGAUAGGAGUUAUUGAUCUUUAUCUAGGUAGUGAAUAGAAUUUUUUAUCAAAAAUUCAAACCUAUUCCGAUUCUUUUACACUGUUAAACUAGCAAGUAUCUCAUACCGGCCGUUAAAAAUUUUCAAUUUUGUAAGCUUUUGAUCAUAAGGUAAAUGAUAAGCUCUAUCAUCGAAAACAACUUAUGAGUAUGAAGCCAAUCGACUCAUAAGAGUAUAGUAGCCGGACUAUAUAUAUAUAUAUAUAUAUAGAGAGAGAGAGAGAGAGAGAGAGAGAGAGAGAGAGAGAGAGCGCUAGGCUGGUAUACUAUCGGUAGCACGGAGGCCUCCGUGCUACCAAGCUUUCAAAUCGACGAUGGGCUCCGUUAGACUUGAUCUACACUAUUGAAAGUAUUUGAAAACUAAAUUUCAUAAAUUUUCGACAUCAUUUACCUAUCAAACGAGUAGUCUAAAAAUGAACGGCUGAAAAUAAAAAUCUCAUAAAAAAUAAUGAUAAAAGACUUGAAUUUAAGAUCAGAGGUAUUGAUUUUACUCUAAAUAGUGAAAAGAAUUUUCUAUAAAAAUUUCAUCAGAUUUGGAUUGUUUUACACCGUUAAAUUCACAAACGCAUCACAUCUACCAUUAAAAUUGUCAAUUUUAAGACCUUUUGAUCACUAGCCAAAUGAUGUCGAAAAAUUAUGAAAUUUAGUUUCCAAAUACUUUAAAUAGUGUAGAUCAAGUCUAACGGAGCCGAUCGUCGAUUUGGAAGCCGCAUCAGUAAAAACAACUUGGUAGCACGGAGGCCUCCGUACUACAGAUAGUAUAGCAGCCUAGCUCUUAUUUUAUUUAGCUAAGUAUAAACACGAUUAUAUCUUUCUUUAUUUUAAUUAGCUAGAUACAAGUAUGAAAAUAGCCUUAUUCCACUAAAAGGUGGACUAGUUGUACCCGGGCCUGGUUUGACCGAAAUAUUUGCCCCGACCAUUUUUUCAAGGCAUUUAGCAGAAUAGCGGAGAUAACUUUUGCCAUCUCCUGUUUAUUCUCAUACCAAGCAUAGACUUAAGGAGUUACUGGGCAAGCCUUAAACCUAAAUAUACGCCACAAUACUUUCUAUAUUAACUGUUGAAACUAACACUAUGGAUUCCAAAGUUGAUUAACUCACAAUCAAACAGAUUGUUCAGCUAGGUUUGAAAGUUGAACUACCCAAAUUAAUCUAUUUAUAAUUGGUUGUUGCAUUGUUGCUUUAAUUCAUCUUAAACUAAUAAUUCUGACAUAUAUAUAUAAAGUCCAGCUAAUAUACUAUUAUAAGUACAAUCGCCUUCAUAUUGAUAAGUCGUUUUCGAUGAUAAAACUUCCAAAUUGACGAUUCAUUCCAUUAAACAUAAUUUACAGCAUAUAAACAUUCCAGAAACCAAGGAUUUAAGUGUCGUGACGGGGUUGUGCCGGAAACUUGCCGGCACGGUGCGUGUCGGUCAUAAAAUAUAUCUGUGCCGACACGUAAUGACACGAAAUAUUUAUUUUCUUUAGCAACAAAAUAUGCCAAUUAUUUAUUAUGUAUUUUUAUCAAAUCUUUUGAACUUAAUUGAAAAAAUUACUCACUAAUUUCAAGAAUAGGGGAUUUCGAGUUGUGCCAUCGGCACGAGGGCUGUGUCCUGCCGAUAUCUUGUUGGCACGAUAUGGCACGGUGGAUACCGCCCGUGCCGAUGGGCACUUUAAUCCUUGCCAAAAAUUGAAUUUCAUAAUUUUUUGACAUGAUACACCUUAUAAUCAAAAGGCCUCAAAAUUGACAUUUUUAACGGCCGGUAUGGAACGUUUCCAAGUUAAUAGUGCAGAAGAAUAAGAAUUGGUUGAAUAUUUGCUAGAAAAUUCUAUUCACUAUAUAAAUCAAGAUCAAUAACUCUGAUCUUGAAUUUAAAAACCCUAUCCCCUAUUUAUAGGAGAUCAUUCGAUUUUGAUUGUUCAUUUUGUACCCACUUGAUGGACUUUAUUAUAAAUUCAAAUAAAAGUACGAAAUUCUAUUUCUAGGUACUUUAAAUGCUCUAUAUCAUAUUUAACGGUAUGGAUCGUCGCUUCGAAAUUGGUUGAAUAUUUGCUAGAAAAUUCUAUCCACUAUAUAAAUCAAGAUCAAUAACUAUGAUCUUGAAUUUAAAAACCCUAUCCUCUAUUUAUAGGAGAUUGCUUGAUUUUGAUCGUUCAUUUUGUACCCACUUGAUGAACUGUAUUAUAAAAAUUCAAAUAAAAGUACGAAAUUGUAUUUCUGGCCAGGGACGAGACCAUGCAUAGGCCGACAAUGGCCAUGGCCCCCCCAGACUUUUUAAAAUUACAAAAAGUUUUAGUCUUAAGUUGUUCAAAAAAUUAAAAUAUUACAAUUUUUAGGGACCAAACUGCAAUUGUUUUGAACACUAAAGUUGCUUGUGGGCCACGCUUCAUGCAUGAGCAGCAUGACGCAUGCAUCAUGAUGCCCACCCCCAAGCGCCGCCCGCCGCUCGCCCGACGCUCGCCAGUCGCCUCGGCGCCUCCUCCCACACCAGUGCACCGCAAUUUGUCAAUCCACACUAAUUAACCACUCUCUCUCUCUCUCUCUCUCCCUCUCUCUCUCUCUCUCAGUUCCACACUUUCUUUCUCUCUCUCCCAUUUCCACACUUCCAUUCCCAUUUCCCAGCCUCCGAGAGUCACAGGCUCAGAGCUCUCUCUUUCUCUAACUUAUCUCAAAUUUCAAUCUCUCUCUCGCUUGCCGGACCGCCGGACGCUGGCCGCCGGUGGUGGUCGCCCCUCGCCGCUCGCCCGCUCGGGCUCGGGCCGCUCGGCGCCUCGAACUACACGGCUACACGCCUACACCCUUCUGGACUAUCAACUUCUUUUGAAUAAUUUUUUGGUGACCGCCUGAUCGGUGAGUGAACCGUCAACCGUGAAUAACUAAAUAUUUUCUUUUAUGUCAUUGUAUGGUAUGCUCUUGAUUUAUUAGUUGUUGUUUGUUCAACUAUUUAAGUAAUUGACAACUAUUUCUGAAUUAUGUCAAUGGUUGGUGGCAACAAGAAAGUCAGAAAUAUAUCCACUUCUCUACAGAUUAGUUAAACUUGUAUUACUUCUUCCAGUUUCAACUGCAACAACUGAACGGGUAUUUUCCGCGAUGAGUAUUAUCAAAAUUGAUCUCCGGAAUAAGAUGGAUGAUGACUUUCUCACUAAUUCUUUGAUCGUGUAUAUUGAAAGAGAAAUUGCCGAGAAGUUUACUAUUGAUUCAAUCAUUGAUGGAUUUCGUGACUUGAAGGAGUGCCGAGCACUAUUCUAAUUUUUUUAUGGUACGUAAAAUUUUUAAAGUUUUUUUUUGUAUUUGUGUACUUCAAAUUUUUAUUAUAUAUAGUUUGUUUUAUUAAUAUAUUUUGCAUAAUAUAUUUUUGGCCGCCCCAGAAUUAAAUCCUGGCUUCGUCCCUGUUUUUGGCUACUUUAAAUGCUCUAGAUCCAAGAAUUUAAGUUUCAUGGCACGGGAUCGUGCCUGAAACUUGCCAACACGGUACAGCAUGGCGUGUGCCGGACCGUGCUGACACGUGUCGGUCAUAAAAAAUGUGUGCUGACACGUAAUGGCAUGAAAUAUUUAUUUUUUUCAGCAACAAAAUAUGCUAAUUAUUUAUUAUGUAUUUUUAUCAAAUCUUUUGAACUUUAUUGAGAAAGUUACUUACUAAUUUUAAGAAUAGAGGGUUUUGAGUUGUGUCAUUGACACACAGGCUGUAUCGUGCCGAUAUCUUGCUGGCCCGAUACGGCACAGUGGAUACGGCCCGUGCCGAUGGGUACUUUUGUCUAGAUCAUAUUUAACAGUAUCGAUCGUCGAUUCGGAAGUUCCAUCAUCGAAAAUGACUAAUGAGUAUGAAGUCCUCUAUAUUCGUAAGAGCAUAGUAGCACUAUGUGUGUGUGUGUGUAGAACUAGGCUAGAAUACUAUUAAUAGUACGGAGCCCUCCGUGCUAUCAAAUUGUUUUCGAUGAUGAGACAUCCGAAUUGACGAUCGGUUCCAUUAAACAUGAUCUACGCUAUUAGAAGUAUCUAAAAACCAAUUUGGUAGCACAAAGCCCUCCAUGCUAUUAAUAGUAUACAAGUCAGACUCUAUAGAACUAGACUAGAAUACUAUUACUUAGCAGUUAGCAUGUAGGCCCCCCCCCCUCUCUGUGUGUUUGUGUGCGCGCGCGCGCAGCCUUCUUGCAUGCUAAAGGGGUAUCAGCUGUCAGAUCCUCGAAACAAAUAGCAUUGGUUUAUCUUGCUUAAAAAAUUACCUUUCAUCAUCGAAAAAUUUGCAGAUACUGCAAUAGUACUUUGCCAUUGAUAAUCCGUCGCAGGAGGGUGUUUGGCAUGUUGGGCCAACAGGCUGGACCUUCAAACAACGCAUACACAUCAUCUCUGCAGUUGCUUUCCUGCAAAUCCAAUAAACCGACAAAAUUAGUGUUGCUAUACAACACUUUCUCAACUUUAAGUCAAAUCUGGAGUCAACUGUCUGCAAGUAAUCACGACAUAUCCCAUCUGGAGUCAACACAAUGUCCUUACAAAUCAACACAUCCUUUCAAUCAGGAAAAAGCAUGCUUAUCCAAAGAUUUAGUUUUCAAACUAAACCAUCUUCAAAGUCUAAACAUGCAAUUAGCUAAUCGGUCGCAGGAAAUACUGAUAAGAUAACGAUUGUCAAUCGAUGUUCUCUUUCUUCCAAUCAAUGAAGGCACUUAAUACCAAAUUGAUAAAAUAUCCAAUUACAUAAGCAAGCAGGCUGUCUAAUGAUUCUAUGUUCAUACCGCAAAGCUUCCAACAAAACCAAGUUGUGAGGGCAAUAUGUGAUUAGACCUCUGCAUUUAAGCCCAAGUAUGCAGGUUUAUAUCUUAAGGAAUGAAAACUGAAGCAAGCACUAUUAAAGCAGUAUAUGUGUGAAACAUGCAUUUCAGAAUGAGACGUCUGUAUCCUCAAUCUUGUAAAUAAUGUGAAACAGUUAGAAAAUAAUGCCUCAAUACUUGAAAAAAUAAUAAAAUAAUUUAAUCUUCUACAACCAAGAAAGUUUGAUGGCAGAAAUUUUCUCAUUUUACUGAUACAACUAAAAAAGGUAUGGUAACAGAACUUUUAUCAUUUUAUUUAAGGGGUGCUCUACCUGUCCAUAGUAUGGUCGCUAACUUUAUCAUGACAGAACCGGCAUGUGAACAGCUUGCAACAACAUGCAGCAAGAAGUUUGCAGUUUCGUUUGUAAUGAUCACAGCCAAAUAUUUGCUUCUCUGGAUCUCGAAAAGAUGGAGAGCAGCCUGGUAUACCUUCACCGCCAUUGCUCUCUCCUGUCCUUGUAUGAGGUAAUUUUUGUUGAGCAGCUAUCCAUCGGCUGCAAUUAAAUACAUCCAGGCAUCAAAGAAAAUUUAAAAAUAUGAACUCAAAGAAUAUGUAAUCACUAAUCAGUAGAGCAAACCUUGUCAUUAGAUUUUGAAUCAGAUAUGCCUUCCUUCUAGGAUCAAGUGUGGGAUCUCGUGAGACCUUUCGAAUCUCUGACUCAAGCUCAUUUUGAUUCAUCCUAAAUAUAUCUUUCCAACCAGGUUUGAACAUCUGGUCGGUCUGAUCAAGACUUUCUCGGCACUCAGGUUCUAAGAAGCCAAAAGGACAAUAAACAAAUAAUUUAGAAUUAAGGGUCAAAGAAGAAAGAAAUGAGGACAGCAUUAAGUGCAUAUCUCCUAUAAGCCACCCAAUGACAACUAAAGAAAACUGAGUGUCACAUUAUUUAGAAAUAGAACAAAGAUUAAUUUAGCAACCUUUGGAAAAGGCAGGGCUCUUAGUAGUUGCCUGUGGUGAUUUAGGACUACCGCUCCACCACUCAUUUAGCCACUCAUUGAACAUUGUAUUUUUGGUUGCUUGCCUCCAUGUGUCGAUCAUCUUAUUCUGCUCUUCUUGAGUAAGAGCUGAAGUUACCCAGGGCAACAUCGACUGGAGAACCUCUGCUCCUGUCGUUCCAAUUAUACGACCUAUAAUCUUAUCCUGCUCCUCCACAGAAAAAUGCUUAUCAAACAAUGGCCACAGCUCAAGUUCUUCCCUGAGAACAUGAUUAUCCAGAGUAACUCUCAAAGAUUUGCACAUCCCAUGAAGCUUUGUGGCCAGUUCAUUUUGCUUUCUAGCCCAAUCAACACAAAUAGCCAGACAAUCCGAGCUUACUCUGUCUGCAUCACUCUUAGCAUCGUGAACUUGACUUAGACCAUCAUGUAUUUGCGAAAGCUCUGAAAGAACCUCAGAAAUAUCUUUAAAUAGUUUUUCCUCCUGCUUAUGGUCUAGAGUAUACGAAUGACUCACAUUGUGAAGAGUUUCUCUUGAUUCUAAAGCUGGGAAAACAAUAUCAUCUUCAGCAUUACUAUGAGCUCUAUACAAGCCCCACAAUAAACGAAAUCUACCGAUGAACUGCCGAAGGGAAUUUUCAUCACAAUCUAUAAGCUUUCCAGAUUCUACAUCCAUGUACUCCAGAUCCUUGCGAAUUGCUUUAUGAAAUUUGAAUAUAGCAUCAAUAGGCUUUACAGAGUUAACUGGAUCUGAUGACACAUUGUCCGAGUCCCAGCAAAAUAGACUGGAAUACAGUGAAGGAGCAGAAGCCAAUGAGCGAAUCCCUAGAUUGCUGCUAUCUACUCCUAAACCAGGUACACAGCAUGGCUUCUUGCCGCACUGGCGUCUUUGAAAUUCAGCAGUUUCUGAAUUGGCAACACCAAGUGGAUACACACUAGGUUCGGAGAAGUUUCCUCGUUUUACUGGCCUAACAUCAGUGCCAGAUCUUACAAGUGGAACAUCAGUCUUGGAGAUAAGAGGACAUGCACAUGCACAGAAUGCCUGACAUUCCUCCACUUCAUUCAUAUCGUCUAACGAACAGCCAUUAGCCGUGGAUGUCAAGCAUAUGAACUUGCCAUUGUCAGAAGUGUCCUGGGAACGACCUUUGCAUGCCCAACCAGAUAAGAGAGUGACAAGUGCAGUUUCAGAUGAUGAAGCUGCAUGAGAUAACAGAGCAUUGUAUUAUACAACAUGUAUUACAAGACAAACAAAGAGGUGAUAAAAUAAAUUCAAACCUGCAAGAUGCAUGUUUUGAAGAAAAGACCUUGCCUCUUCAUCGCUCAGCUUUGAUACAAGCCAUGGUAAUACCCGCUCUAACAAUUUUAAGGGCAUUACACAUAUACUUUUGUACAGAAGUUCCCGCUGCUUGUCAGGAGAGAAAUGCAUCCUAGCUAGAGGAAGAACCUAGAAGAAAAAAUGUGUAUAUUGAGAUCCCUUUCAUCGGUUUUUGUGAAAUAAUAACUAGAAUAAUAUUAACAAUACUGGACCUACCUCGGCUUCCUCACUGUGGAAGUGCUUCUGAAUCGUCUCCAUUAUUUGAUCAGCAUGGGAACACAACUCUGCAUAAAAUUCUGCACUAGUUGAUUCAGCUCCUGCUCUCUGGAUUCUUUCUAUCAAACACCUAAAUUUGUUAAAUUGAGUUUCUUCUUCAGCAUGCUCCUGAACAAAAGAAACCUCCCCAUCGACUGCUGGAAAUAUUACUUGAUCCUCUGCAAUACUGCACACAAAAACACACUUACGAGUUAAAAGAACAGUAGAUAUAUUAUGGAGUGAUUCAACUAAUCUAUGAUAAUCUCUUCAAAAGCCAUGCACCCAAGCCUAAUUCAUUAUAACUAUUUUACUUGCAUACUUUCUGAAUGGAGCAGUGGAGCUAGACAUGAUCAAUGUGCUCCAUCAAUGAGAAAUACAAAUACACUAUUCCUCUGUGUAGUUCGUAUUCUGCUUAAUAAUGAUUCACUUGUUAGUUCUAACUAAAUCUACUUACGCACAAAGACACAUAAAAUAAAUAUAAGGGUAUGUGUCACAGAUGAACACAUUAAAAUAAUGUAAACAUCUCUUAUAUUCCACUCAGAACAAUUCCAUAAAAAAUAAGUAGCAAAGCUCCUGAAGAUGCUCAUUGGAAAUCAAGAUACUGGAUAUUCAUAAUCACAAUGAGAGACCAUUUUCCAUGUUCAUUUGCUGUGAAGCACCUAGGGUCAUACAAGAUAAUAAACCAAGACGUAAAUAGAGAAAAAGCAGGGCACAGCAUCAAUUAAGGCCUUGUUUGGCAUCAUUUGUCUUUUUUUUGUUUUUAAAAUAGAAUUUCUACAUAAAAUAGUGUAGGCGGAUGUCUGAUUGAUUGCAAUCCUUACAUCCAAGGUGUUUGUUCGGCAACAAGAGACAAAAACUUGGAAGCAACUCCCUUUUUGCUUCCAAGAUUUUUUUUUUUUAAGGUGGUCAUCCAUCAUUUGGCCAGGAUAUAUUACAAGCUAUCCAACUCUGACAACAAGAGGAAAGUCCAUCCACCAAUAUAUCAUUAUAUAGAAUUAGUGUUAAAAAAAGCAAAAAGCAGCAAUGAUGCCAAAUGAGGCCUAAAACUGUUAGUUUCCACUAUUUUGAGUCAACUUGGCAUCAAUCAUUAGCCUAAGAAGUUCCUCAAACCAACUAAAUUUGUGUCCUUUCUCGAUGCAUUGUUGUUAAUUUUCAUCUUCUGUCCACAAGGCUCCUUUUAUUCAAGAAAAAUCACCUUAUUCAAGAAAAUCACCCCUCUUCACUUGCCCACUAAAAUAGUCACCAUUGCAUCUGUCCAAACCAACUCAAACUGUCUUCAUGCAACUUAAAACCGAUAGGCACCACAUUAAAUGUGUCAAAGUACAUGAAUUUCAUUUUUUUUCCCCUUCCUUGGAAGACCAUAAAACUAAAGGAAAACAAAGAUAGGAAAAAAAUUUCAAAAGAAGCAUUUCUGCAAUGGAAGUACAAAUAGCAAGACAAAAAAAUGUCUUACGGUCAGUGGAGUUAAAAAGUAAGGCAAAGAAAAGAACUUGUGUCGAAAAGGCAAACAAGAAUUGUACCUAUGGAAAAUGCAUACAUCAGCAAUAAACUGAAGUCUCAUAUUGAAGACAGAUAAAUCAGAAAAAUCUCCAGAACUUUGUAUCUUUCUUGCCUCUUCUGCUAUCUCAUUCAGUUCUAAUCUGAUUGCAUUAUGCCAAUGCAAUAUUUCAUCUAUUGGGUGCACCCUAAUAUUGUCUGAAGAGCUGCUUUCUGAAUCUUUGAGUUUCCUCUUUCCAAUCCUGGAAUACGCAUGCGGACACAUAUGCUUAUCGGGGUAAUCCAUGGACAAAACAGUCCCACCACUAGAAGAGUUCUCGGUUUGAUCUUUCACCUUAUUGAUUGUUCCUUUACCUUCCAUCCAAGUGAAUAUAACCUACAAUAUUCAACUAGAAGUUAAAUGCAUUAUGGCCCAGUCAGAUAAAGAAAAGGAACAGUAAUAAUUAUCAAUACCUGCUGAAGAAGCUUUUCUUCUGGGAUUAUCUUGCACAAAGAUUUGAGCAUAUCUUGAUGUUCAUCAGGUGAAACACAAGCUGAAAGCCACGGAAGGAAUUCUACCAUCAUGUUCACAGGAAUAUUACACAAGAACUGCCAAACCAAAUCAGCUUGCUCUUCAAACGAGAACUUCUCAAUCAGCAAGGGGAAGACCUGAAACAUUUGAACUUUUAGCAGUGAUCAAUAUUUGCAUGGAAUGCUUCAUAGGUGGAUUUAAGAUAGGAUAACUUAUAAAUACCAUAGCAAAGUAACAUGGCAUCAAAUAUCAAUUGAACAAAACAUUAAGAAAACAUCAAGUUGAGAAUAAAAUGAUAAGUGGGAGCCACCUGAGAGGAAAAAAGUAGAAUGAAAUGAUGUGAAAGAAAGCACGGCGUACACCUUCCAAAAAGCCUUAAACAAGUUGAGAUACAAGUUCCAACGUGCUGUUGUAAAGACCAAUAUCCUACUACAAUAAUGUUUCAUUACAUCAUGACUUGGCAACAUGCUGUAUAGUUUGAAUUUCGCUCAGAAAAACAAAAAUAUGCUAAUUGCUCCUAAAAAUGAUCCGACAGCUGAUGAAAUUUCUAACAAAAUAGAGCUGAGUUUCUGUGGCAUAUCGGACCUUCGUAGAUUGGCAAGGUUACCAUAUGCAGUGAUGGUUGGCACUUCUGUAGAGUGUUGGACUAAGUUGGAGCCAUUUUUGCACAAAAUAAACAGGAAAAUGGACUCUAAAGACUGACCUCAGCUGAAACUAAGUCCCAGAGCUUUUUCGAACGCAAGGGAGCGGUUUAGGGCACCCGAAAGUGGAGAGCUGAGAAGCAGGAGGAUCCUAAUGGUGAUUUCAGAUGCCUAUUACUGCUGUAGCUGAGCCCAGAAGAGUGAGUCACCGCUCACACCACGUAUUGAAUGCCUAGAAGUUACUGUAGCACCCCAAAUAAUUGGAUAAGUGCAACUGAAUGACAGAGAUAAAGCGGAAAGCAGGUGAGUCACUGUAGAGUUUCGGAUGCUUGGUCCGGGCGCUCGAAAAUGUGUGAGCGAUGCUUCAAUGGGUUCGAGCCGUCGAAUGUAAAGUGAGGACGUCUGAGAAUCUACGGCUUUGUGUCAAACGCCCGAAUGUGGUUCCGAGCGCCUGAAACCUGUAUUUUGGCCUGACGUUGAUUUCUGAAAAAUUGAAGGGCUUCCUUGCCAUUGUUUCCAGCCUAUUUAUAGUCCAGCGGAGCUCAGCUUCUUCUCUUUUCAUUCUUGUUGAUCUGAGCCUUUUCCUUCUCUGUUUCUCUCUCCUUCUCCUUGGCAUAGAUUAGGACCCUGGUUGGGAGAGCCCAGAAGGUGAUUGCUCACCUUAUUGAUGGUCUUCUGAGGACCUUAGAGGCAUUCUUAGCUAACUGAGGCAGUGGGGUGAGGAGUGUGGAUGAUCCUUACUGAGGCCUUUGGUGGAAUUUGAGGUCAAUAAAAUUUGAGCUUAUAGUAUGAAGUGCAAUUUUAGUUGAUUCUUGAUGUAGCAGUGAAUUUUGUUGGUUAAGAGUUGAGUUUGAGCUUCCUUAUUGAAUUAUUGGUGUUGAGGAGGAGAUGUUGAGCGUGUUCCUUUUCCACCUUCUUCGGAGUUGAUCCAGGUGGGUUCCAUGUCGCCGAAAAUGGCAACUAACUCCUAUGUCUAUUUUGCAUGAUUUAGUCUGUUGAGAUGGUCCGUUGAUAUAGUUGAGAUGACAGUAGUGAUUUAGACACCUACCUAUUGAGUUGAUUAUACUCUUGAACUAUACAUGAUUGCCUAUAUUUUCCUUAUGUGAGAUUUGGUAGAGAUAAAUACCCUAUCAGUAUGUGGAGCUGUAUACAGAUAUAUUGUGUUUUCACUACUAGAGAUUUUAUUGCCUGAUUAUACAUGAGAUGAGCAAAUUGGAAAAAAUGCCACGGGACAGUGGAUAGUAAUAUUCGGUAAGACUAUGAUUGUGCCAGGGGCACCUGGACAGUAUGAUUAUGAUCUUUUUUAUCACUGCAUUUGACUACAGCCUGCAUAAGCUACAUUGAGCUUGACAGAGAUAUUGUGAUAUGAUACUCGGUGGAGUCACACCCCUCGAGUGCCCCUCCGGAGGCUGGCGGCUGAUAUAGUUGCGCUAGACAGCUCGUAUGUUGACGAACCACUGGUGAGAGUGGGGAUCGGGCAUCGGGCGAGCGCAAGCUUGACCGGACUUAUGAGUCGGUCGAAGUGAUUGGGUUAUGCAGCAUUGCUUUAUUCGGUUAUUUUUACUUAAUGCAUACAUUAUCUGAUUUACAGCAUUCAGCAGUAGUAUAGAGGCAUGAUAGUAGUAAUUUACUUUCAGCUCAGUCAUAUCCUGUUAUUCUUACAGUUCAGUUUACUAUUUUUGCUUCUAGUAAACUUAGUAGUAUAGGUCGUCGUUGUCGUCGACUGUAUCCAGUGGAGGCUACUGUUCACUAGUUCUCACGACCUCUUUUGUUGUUUGUCUUUUCAGAGCUCUCAGUGCCAGUGUCUAAUUGAGGUAAGAGGUUUGCGAGCUAAAUAGUGUCCUCUACCCAACUGUACAUUGCCUAGAGGAGGACCACUAGUGCGUAAUUAGUACAGCAGGCUGUCCUUAUGUAUCAAGUUGGAGAGACCAGUGGGAGUAUUGUAUAUUUCUUUAUCAUCAGUUGGAUGGAUGUUGUAUACAGUGAUGACUAUACUUUUGUAGAUGUUCAUAGACUCUGAAACAUGUUUUAUGUCUAUACAAACUCCUGUUAUUUGUGUUUGAGUCAGAUGGUUUGUGGACGCUUCAUAUGUGCGGGGAUGGUGGGUUUGUUAGCAUACCCGGGGGCUUCCGCUGUGGCCCCGGGCAUGACAAUUUCUUGCUAACAAAUUUCAGAGUUAGCUAAGUAAAAGGCAAAAACUAAGCAUAGGUUAGGAAAUGUAUCUACACAGUGACUAUUCUCGCAAAGAGAUGUCCAAGCGCACAGCAAGUCUAAGUUCAUUUAACUAGAAAGCAAGAUGCCACGAGGAUGCUGCACAGUCAACCAGCCAUAUUUAAAUGCUAGUCAAUCUAGUAAUCAUCAGCAUGAUGAUUGCAUCAUUUUCUACAAAUUUUAGCAGUUCAAUCUUUUUAAUUUACAAUGGGUUGGGGAAGAUUUGUUAUUAGUCAAAAUAAUUUAGGUUUCCAUCUAUAUAGCUAUUUAUAUGAUUCUAAAUUCUUUUUAAAAAGACUUACUUCUACAACUUUGAAUGAAUUUAGCCCACGAACAUAGGAAGAAAACCAAUGGACUUAAAUUAUAAAAUUGAUUUGGCGAUUUAACACCAAUUUCCCACUUUACCUCAUCUUCCUGUCUAAAAAUUGAUUCUUUCCACUACUACGGAACAAAAACUUUCUUCCAUCUAAUCUUAAUCUUAAUUAUGUGUCGUUUCCAAUUGAACAUUUAUCAACUAUAUUCCAGCCUAUUCACUCACAAUAACUCUUCAUGCCUGAGGUUUUAACUGAAAUAGAAAAAGGGAACUGAUCGUUGCUACUGAAAUAGAAAAAGGGAACUGAUCAUUUCUUCAAAGUGGCAAUGCUCUCAUAUAAAUCAACUGCCAAAACCCAUGUAUCUACGAAAAUCAUCAGAUGAUAGAACAUUGUAGAAUAUGAGCAUAUUAUUUGCCUAGUAAUGCCAGAAGUAUAGGUCCACUCAGACUGGUAAAUUUGUCUAUAACAUGAAUGAAUUGAUUGAAAAACCAUGGAUUCUAUAGUUCACAAGGACAGAUCAAUUACAUUUAACAAACAUAAAAACCAACACUGCAAACAAUUCAAAAACUAAAAUUUACCUGCUCCUCUUCCUUCGACAUGUGUUGGCUAAGAGAUGUUUGAAUGGCUCGCGUGCAUGAUGCAAGUUCUCGUCGAAAACCAUCAUUAUUUUGCACAUCAAGAUGUAAUAGAUCAAACAACUGAUUAAAAAGAUCACUUUCUCCUUUAUGCUCAAGCGAAUACGUCCUAGCAACAUUCUUAACGCGUAUGUCGAGAGCAGGAAAGAUAACCUGCAAUUGUUAAAGCAAUUAUUUUAUUACACAUAUAUCCAAAUUAAUGCCAAAAGAACAAAUGUGUUAUUAUAUUAUUCAGCGCUCUUUUAGAUCAUUCUUUCAUUUCGAAGAAGAAACACUCAUAUUACUAAGUCUAUGUUUGAUAACAUUACAGUUAGUCGAAGCUCUGUUGCAAACUUCUGACGUAGAAAACAUUACAAUUCAGCUUUCAAAAUAUAUAUAUGAAAGACACCUCUCUCAUUUUUGACUGCCAAACUUGAAAAGAAAAAAAAAAUUACAACUCAAUUGGUACUGCAGGGUUAAUUGGAGGAAUAUACUUUAUCAGUGUUAUCCGCAAUAAAGUAAGGGGGGAAAGACUUCAAUUCUAAAAGACACAAAGUACCGAUUCUUUUUCACUUUCUUCCUUAACAAGAUACCAUUCCACAUCCAACCAGAGUGCAUCACAAGCUACACGACAACAACAAGGACGGAGAACUACAUUCACCAGCGCAUUCCCGCAUGGAAUUUGGGUUUCAAACAAAAAAAGAAAGAAAGAAAGCAAUAAAGUCGUGGCAAACGAGGCAUAAACAAAUAUGGAUGUCUGGUAGCCAGUUCAGCAUAACAACGCAUCUUCGAGAAACAGGAGGCAAAAACAAACAGGAUGAAGCAUGUCGUCAAAUCAGAUAAUCUCUAAAUUUUAACCUACCGAAUUUCGACAGAAUAUCAAUAAUAAACAAGUUUAAAAACAAGAAUUUAAUAAACAAGUUUAAAAACAAGAAUUUUGACAUACCACAUCAUUUACGACAACAAUAGUUUUCAAUCACAGAUUCUGCUGCAAUACAGUGCAGGGAGGCAAGUUGAACCUUAUUCACCCUCUCAAUCCACUACCCAACUUUGAACCAUUCAAGUGAUUCGACGUAAAAUUUAAACUCAUCGACAUAAAGAAGUAAACAACAAAAGCCCUGCGUCGGAAAAAAAAAAAAAAAAAAAAAAAAAAAAAAAAAAAAAAAAAAAGAGCGAGAAAUAGAUAAAACAGGCUUAUCCACAUCCUACCAACCAGCGACACACUAUCCUCAUAAAUUUGUUCCCCAAAAUAUGAUCCAAUUCGAGCUUCUUUACAAAUAUCUUGUUCAAACCAAACAACUUAAUCUCAAAUUCAACCAUCAGGUCAGCUAAUUUUAAAACACAGAACAAGUCUCCAAAUCUUUUUUUUUCUUUUUUUCGGCCCCAAAUCGAAGGUAAUCAUCAAAUCUAACCACCUCUUUCGAAUCCAAAUCACGAAUCAGAUCCCGCGAGGCCCCCAAGAUCAAAACCCUAGAUAGACCCCAAACCUCAAAACUAGCUCAAAAAGGGUGGCGAACCCUACCGCGUCCUCGGCAUUGCAGUGGUGCUUGUAGAUGUCGAAGAGGAAGCGGCAGCGAUCGGCGAGCGGCCGCAGGUCGCCUCCGGCGCCGGCGGUGGCGAACUCGACGGCGGCGCGGUGGAGGCGGUCGAGCUCCGAGCGGAUCGCCUUCUGGAAGUACAGGAAGAUGAGGAUCGGCGACCGCUCCGCCGAGUUCUCCCCGCUUCCGCUUCCCGGAGAAGCCAACGCCGACGCCGACGCCGACGCCGACGAAGCCGAGGGAGAGGACGAGGACGAGGACGAAGAAGAGGAGGAGGAGGAGGAGGAGGAGGGAUCCAUGGCGUUCCCCGCCUCCUGGGGCAUGAGGGCGAGGACUCCGUCUCCCGCCAACGGCGUCGCCAUCACCUCUUACGAUAUCUCUCACCUCUCUCUCUCUCUCUCUCUCUCUCUCUCUCUCGCCUUUUUUAUUCUAAUUUUUUUCAUGUGCUUUUUCUUGUGAGGGGGGGAGUUUCUUAUAAUUACUUAAUUAAUUAAUUAAUUAAUUAAUUAAUUAAUUAUCCUUUAAUUAAAUAAAUAAAUAUUCCACGAGGACGUUGAUAACGAGAUCAUUAAGAAUGGUUUUUAAUUUAUUUAGUUUUUACCUCGUAUAUUUUUAUGCAUGUUGUAUGGAAAGAAUAGCAAAUAACUUCCCCGCGGAACCCCAAAAAAAGGUUGAAAUUUACAAUUUACUCCUUCCACAUGUGGAGAAAAUGAAAUGCCUUUUUUCAGCAUAUUUUCAUGUAAAGAAGCAAAAGAGAGUAUUUUUAGAUAAACAUGAAUUUUGUACAUAUAUAUGUCCAAUUCAUACCAAAUCCGGACUCAAAAUUUUUUACUUGCUUAUACUUGUGGAAAUCGUCCUAAUUUCGACUGAUUAAUUAACUCAAAUUAUAUCAUUAAUUAAUUAAGGUUUUCAGAUAUAGGAUUUAAUCAAUUUUAACUUGUAACUUUAUCUAAAUAGAUCAUAGAUAAGUGAGUGUCAAUAUGCCAGAUAUGAAUAUAUGAUGUUUAUGCAGAUCAGAUCGCAUCAGUUAAGAUGUAACGUUUUUAUUUUUAGCCUCGCCGAAAAGGAGAGAUGGUUUUAUUUGGAAUUGCGUGCAAAGUACACGUGACGAGGAACUACAAUAGGAAACUAUUUUAUUAGCACACGGAUGAUUUAAUUAUAACUAAGAUACAAUGUCUACGACAGUCGCACCGAAAGAAAGAAAAGUAUUUCUUCGUAUAUUCUUGCUCCCACUCAUUUCUCCUAUAGCGUUAGCAUUAGAUGCCUCUACUCAUUUUGGAAAUCAAACAAUUGAGUAAAUUACACCGUUGGUCAUCAACUUACGGAGCGCGUGAUAUUUUAGUUUUCAAACUUUAGUUCAUUAUAAUUUCUAGCUCAACUUUUUAAAUUAUCGUAAUCAAAUCAUAAAACCUAAUUUUUUCUAGAAAAAAAUUCUUCACCACCCUUCCAAAAUAAGUUAAAUAUCAUAUAUAACCUUAUAAAAAUUAAAAUAUCAUAAAUAACCUUAUAAACGACAGAAACUUUCAAAAAGUAACUUUUACUUUAACUGACCGUCAACUUUAAAUAAAUGGCAAAUAAAAUUUUAAUUUUACCCCUAUUGUCGUUAACAUUUUAAAAUAAUCAAUUGGCUAUAAAUUAUUUAUAAAUUUAUAAACACCCUUCUAAGUUUAUAAAUAACCUAUAUUUAGACAUAAGUUUUUUGUAAAUUAAAAAAUUUAUAUAUCUAACAAAUUAAGCUAAAAAAAUCAAAAAAUCAAAAUAAAUUUGAAAAAAUCAAGUAAAAUUAUUUUAAAAAUGUCAACUGACACAUCAAAAUAAGGUUAAACAGUUUAUUCAAAAUAUAUGCACGUAUGGUGUGAACUAAGUAAUUUAACCUAGCACAAAUUUCUAAACUUUGGCAUCUCAUAUUUCAAAAGGUUUCACUUUAUUUCAAAACAAAAAAUUGCAUAAGUUUCAUUUUCAUACAACAAAAGAAAAGAAGUUUCGCUUAUCACUCUGUAUUUUCUAUCUUAAUUUUUCAUAUAAAUAUCUCAUUAAAUAAAAUAGCAAAAUGCAUGUUCUGCAAAGUACAGUAAAAUAUCUUAUUUUAUAAACCACACAGUGGUAAAAUAAUGUAUUUUACGAUGUAAUUUGAAUUUCACUAACUUGUCGUUUGUAAAAAAUAUAAUAUGUUACUAUCUUAUUUAAUGACAGAUUUUUAUGGUGAAAUAAAAAUAAAACAACAACAUAUCAUAAUGAUGCAUAUCAAAAAAAUGGGUUGCAAAAUGUGUAUGUAGUAAUUCACAAAGUGAUUAAUUAAGUCUAUCUUACACGCUGCAAAUAUUUAAAUUAAACAAUAGUACUUUUAUUUGAAUUUGUCAUUAAUAUCUUAAAAUAAAUAUGUAAGAGUUGAGAGGAACAAUUAUGAAAUUCUGAAAAUACUUUUGUAACUGAUUUUUUAAGUUAAGAGUAAAAUCUUGAUCAUAUUUGUGAUAAUCUAAAUACUGUAGGCAUUCUAUAAUAAAGAGAUGGAAAAUAAGGAUAAGGACAUGCUUGAAAUAUAGUAAGUGUUUUCAGACGUAUUUAUGAUAUAAUAAUCAAAUUUAUAGGGCCAAUUGUGAUAUUUUUGAAGUUUAGAGGGGCAUGAAUGAAUUUGACCUUUUAUUUAUUAAAUACUGAUAAAUUUCUAAAAUAGAAAUAAUAUAAUAAUGCGGUAAUUAAUAAUGCAAUAAAAUUUAAUUAAGAUGUUGAAUCACUUUUAUAGACUUGAUUACGAUAACUUAGAAAGUUCAAAUCAAAAAUUGUUGAAAUGUUGCGCACCCUAUAGUUCAGGGACAUCCAAAGUCAAGGGAUAUAAAAUCAUAGUCUUGUAUUAUUAUUAACUAACAUAAUGUCAUAGCUCAGAUUUUAUAUAUUUUUUAAGCUAAAUUAUAAAAAAUUUAUAUAUCAAGCUUUUUCAUUUUUACCUCCUGUUAUUUAAAUACCUACACUUUAUUUUCUUAAAAAAUAAAAAAUAUUCACAAAAAAUACGCUGUGACAAAAUAACCAAAUUAUCUCUUAUCUUCUUCGGAGUGGAUAUGGACGGAGAGGUGGGCGAUGGCGAGGGCGAGGGUGAGGCGGCGGAGGCGUGUGAGGGCGUGUAUGUGGGCAUGGACAGAGAGGUAUGUGAGGGCGAGGAUGAGAAAAAACGAGAGUUUCAAGGAUAUUUUGGGUAUAAAAAAUAGAAUAUAAACGGAAUCCUAACGAAACACCGGCGGCAGGAUCUAAGUGAAUAUUUUUCAUUUUUAAAGGAUAAAGUAUAGAUUUUUGAAUGAUAUGAGAAUAAAGCGAAAAAACAGAUAUUGACAGGAAUUUUUUUUUUUUUUGUAAUUUAUCAUAUUUUUUAUUUAGAAAAAAAAAUAAAUCCACAUGAUUUCCAAAAAAAAUAAUUUAAUUUUGGAAAUUUUAAUUUAAUGGCUUGACAAUUUCUACUUGGGAUCCACGUCACUUCAGUCGCGCGGGCGGUAGUUGACACGUGUGAGCGGUGCGGAAUCGUGUGCCGCCUCAGCGGAGGGGAGGGUCGCCACGCGUGCCGGGCACGUGGGAGGAUGUGGUUCAAGUGUGCCUUAAUUUGUUGGCGAUCCUCAUCCAACGUCCUCCCACGUAAAACUUAUACAUGGCUUAUUAUUUCCACAGGGCUAAAAUCGUCAAUUUUCUAUUUUUUUUUACAUUUGAAGGGUAAAACCGUCAACCUAUUAACAUUUUUCAAAUUUGGUUCUUUAAUAAAUAUUUUUGUUUGACAAUUUCAACGUCUUCAUUUUAUUAUAACAACCAGUAAAAUGUAUGCACGUACACGUAAAGAAAGUAAUGGAGAUCAUCUCUCAAAAAAGAAGUAAUGGAGAUCGGGUAAAGUACUCUCUCUCUCUUCUCUCUCUCUCUCUACACACACACACAUAGGGCUGGCAAACGAGCGAGCCGGCUCGCGUUCGCUCGUGUUCGGCUCGAUAUUCGGCUGCUUGAGCUCGACUCGAAAUUAAAUGAGCCGAGCUGAACAAAAUAAAAGGCUCGAAAUUCAUUUCAAGCGAGCUGAGUAUUACUCGGCUCGUUCGAAUUAGGCUCGAAAAGCUCGAAUAUAUAUAUAUAUAUAUAUAUAUAUAUAUAUAUUAUAUUAUAUAUAUAUUAUAUAUAUAUAUAUUUAUAUAUUAUAUAUAAUUAUUUAUGAGUCGGUUACUAUACUUUUAUGAGUAUUGGUCCCUUAUAACUCAUAAGUUUUCGCCCUUAAAUUUAUUCUAUUGAUCAUUUUCACCGUUAGAUCACACUAUUCAACAAUUACCCACUCAACCCUAGGGACGCUUUCAUUUUAAGUGGGGACCACUAUCAUCCUAACCACACAUCCCAUCAAUCAACGCGUUAAAAAUUUAUGAGUACAAGGGUGUCUUACUCAUAAAAGUAUAGUAGCCCUAGCUAUAUUAUAUAUAUAUAUAAUAUAUAUAUAUAUAUAGUUGGACUGGGCUACUAUAGUAGCAAAAUCC